UUUGCUCAAGUCAACAUAUUCUAUUUCUACUUCCUCACAUCAUAUUCCAACAUAGGCAUAUUUCACUCCUAUCCAAUACAAAUAUAAUAUGCCUACACAUCUACCAAAGUAAAUCCAUAGCCAAAUAGGUUCCCCAAAGUAUAUGAUCUUAAAUUUCCAUACUUUGCACCCUAUAUUUUGGUUUAUCUUUGGUGGUUCUCUAUGUGAAGACCUGGAGCUUUACCAUAGCUUCAAAACGAGCCCAAGAUCAUCAAAAUCGAAGUCCGGAUGUAAAAGUUAUGCAUGUUUCGGUUUUGGGGUUCCUGCUGUUUUUUAAAUGGCCGGACAUCCGGGACUUGGCCGGAUGUCCGGGCUUCCGGGUCGCCCCGGAUGUCCGGGAUCCUCCUGGAAAUCCGGUCUGCAAAUUCCAGAACAUGUUUUCAAAUGUUGGUUGUGCUUGCCGGAUGUCCGGCCCGGCGCUGUCACUUACUCGCAAACGGCUAGUUUUCUAGGCCUUCUAUAUAUACCCCUCUACUAAUCCGGUAGAGGGUUGACCACUUCAGCCCAAAUCGCCCCAAGAACACAAGUGGCUCCCUCUCACUUCUCCUACACCAAAUCUUAGAUCCCGAAGAAAUUUGUGAGAGUUCUUGAGAGUUUUUCCAAUCAAGUGAUAGAUCCACUCCCUCUCCCUCUCUUGACCAAAGGAAUUCGUGAUUUGAGCAAGUCUUGAGCAUUUCCCCUUUGUUCUUGUUACUCUUGGAGGUUGGAGACUCCUAGGCGGUAGGAGUGCUCCGGUGAGGAAUCAACUUGUGAUUUGUCCCCCUAAAAGUUUGUGAAGGUUUGGAGGCCGCCUCAAGGUAUACCACUAGUGGUUGAGAAUCGCCUUCGUGGUGAUAUCUCAAGGAGAAUAGGGUGAGCCUUCGUGGCGUUAGUGUGCCUUCGUGGUAACAUCCACCUCUCUAACGGUGACUAGCUUCCCUCCAAGGAAGUGAACAUCGGGAUACAUCCUCGUCUUUGUGACUUUGGUUAUCCCUAAGCCUAACUCCUUACUUGUGGUUUACUUUGCUCACUUGACCGUGGAUUCACUAUAUCUUGUUGUCCUCAUUAUAUUGUGUUGGUUCCCAUAUCGUGGAGAUCAUUUAGGCCAACACUUUAUAGUCCGCAAUUCAUACUUGCUACUAUUAUUCUAUCUUAUGAUUAGUGUGAAUUGCUAGCUUGUAACAUUCAUUUCCAUAUCUUGCGACAUAAUUUGUGUAAGCUUGUAUUGCUUACUUGUGGUUGUGUGUAUUUCAUUUACAUAUCUUGUGAUAUACAUUGAGUAAGUUUGUGUAACUUACUUGUGCUUACUCAUAUCCUCGUUGUUCUCAUCUUGUUUAUCCUAAGUUGUUGGUGCACUUAGUGAGCCUAGUAUAUUUAGGAUUUGUGCUUGAAAAGUAUCCGCUUAGUGUAUUUCUGCAUUAGGAUAUAGACAAAUCCAUAAAAGCAUUUAAAACGCCUAUUCACCCCCCCCCCCUCUAGGCGACAUCGUGGUCCUUUUAGUGGGCGAUGUUGAAUAAGCGGAGGUGGCAGCAUUACUGGAGGGAUUAAAGCUUGCCCGUUCGGUUGGGGCAAAUUCUAUCGUCGCCCAGGAGGAUAACAUGACAAUUGUGGAGGCAAUGGCGAACAAUAUUGGUCAUUCUAUGGUGGUUGGCCCCAUACUGGAUGAAUGUCGGCAAUUAUGUGCAGAUUUAGGGAAGGUUCUUUUUGAAUUUUGUAACAGAGAAUCAAAUAUGGUAGCCCACACGCUAGCUCAACAUGGUCGGGAUGAUCCACCGUCUAUGUGGUUGGACUCCCCUCUUGGUUUUAUCUUCGAUUUACUCACGGAUGAUGUAAGCAUUAUUUAAAGUUAAUAAAGCUAGCCAUAAGACCUUCCCCUCAAAAAAGUAGUACUGUAGUUAGUGAAAAUGUAAAGCAUUCCUCCUUGCCCAUGGCCCAAAUCUAACAGUGUGACAGCUGAAAAAAAAUCAGAGGAACACCUACCCAGCCCAUAGAGCAAACCGUCCAUGUCCCUAGACACAAAGAACGAAAUCACUAAUUAAGGAGUACUUGUUGCAAAGAACACUCCACUUUCCCAGGUCGCUACAAGUGGCGCACAUGUAGAGCGCCACUUGUCGCAACCUGGGAGUUUUGUUUUUUCGUAGAUCCGUUUAUUCAAAACAUUUUAUCUUUUAAGCCGUGCAUCCAAAUCUCGAACCUUUUUCACCAUUGGAUUCCUCGCAUCGAGAUCUUCAAAACUAGAUCUCAUGUUGAUAGGUUUUGACGAACAUUUUUUCACGAAAAAAACCAGACGGAAAAAACCGGGCGAAAAAAACGAACCGGGAGCAUGGUUUUUUCCCUUUCUGAAAAAGGCACGCCCGUGCCUCUCGCGAAAUUACACCCGUGCCUCUCGUGGAAGCAAAACUGUGACUCUCAUUGAAGGAAAAAACAGAAAAUGUGUUUUUUUCGUUUCCGAGAGGCACGGCCGUGACUCUCGCGAAAGCACAACCGUGCCUCUCACAGAAGCAAAACUGUGAUUCUCGCGAAAGAAAAAAAAUAGAAAACACGUAUUUUUUUCCUUUGUGAGAGGCACGGCCGUGACUGUUGGGGAUCGUUGCAGAAAUUAAAAAAAAUCUAUGCAUCACCAAGAUCAAUCUAUGGAGAGACUAGCAACGAGAGAGAGGGGAGUGUAUCUUCAUACCCUUGAAGAUCACGAAAUGAAAGCGUUACAAGAACGCGGAUGAAGGAGUCGUACACGAAGCGAUUCAGAUCGCGGUCGAAUCCGAUCUAAGCACCGAAUAACGGUGCCUCCGCGUUCAACACACGUGCAGCCCGGUGACGUCUCUAGCACCUUGAUCCAACAAGGGGAGAGGGAGAGGUUGGGGAAGACUCCGUCCAGCAGCAGCACGACGGCGUGGUGGUGGUGGACGAGCGUGGCACUCCAGGAGGGCUUCGCCAAGCACUGCGAGAGACGAGGAGGGAAAGGGGUAGGGCUGCGCCAAGAGAGAGGAAGAGUCGCGUCCCUGGCAGCCCCAAAACCCCCACUAUAUAUAGGGGGAGGGGAGGGGAUGCGCCCCCAUCUAGGGUUCCCCCCUAGGGGUGGCGGCCAGCCCUAGAUGCAUCUACGGGGGCGGCCAGAGGGGGAGAGAGGGGGGGCGCACCCUAGGUGGGCCUUAGGCCCAUCUGAGCCUAGGGUUUCCCCUUCUCCCCUUCCCUACGCCUUGGGCCUCUUGUGGGAGGCGCACCAGCCCACCUAGGGGCUGGUCCCUUCCCACACUUGUCCCACGCAAGCCUCCGGGGCUGGUGGCCCCUCCCGGUGGACCCCCGAACCCUUCCAGUGGUCCCGGUACGUUACCGAUAACGCCCAGAACACUUCCGGUGUCCAAAACGGGACUUCCCAUAUAUAAAUCUUUACCUCCGGACCAUUCCGGAACUCCUCGUGACGUCCGGGAUCUCAUCCGGGACUCCAAAAACAUUCAGUAACCACGUACAUCUAUUCCCUAUAACCCUAGCGUCAUCGAACCUUAAGUGUGUAGACUCUACGAGUUCAGGAACCAUGCAGACAUGACCGAGACAUCUCUCCGGCCAAUAACCAACAGUGGGAUCUGGAUACCCAUGUUGGCUCCCACAUGUUCCACGAUGAUCUCGUUGGAUCUCAUCAGAUGAACCACGAUGUCAAGGAUUCAAUCAAUCCCGUAUACGAUUCCCUUUGUCUACCGGUAUAGUACUUGCCCGAGAUUCGAUCGUCGGUAUACCGAUACCUUGUUCAAUCUCGUUACGGCAAGUCUCUUUACUCGUUUCGUGACACAUCAUCCCGUGACCAACCCCUUAGUCACAUUGAGCUCAUUCGAUGAUGUCUUACCGAGUGGGCCCAGAGAUACCUCUCCGUCAUACGGAGUGACAAAUCCCAGUCUCGAUUCAUGCCAACCCAACAGAUACUUUCGGAGAUACCCGUAGUGCACCUUUAUAGCCACCCAGUUACGUUGUGACGUUUAGCACACCCAAAGCAUUCCUAUGGUAUCCGGGAGUUGCACAAUCUCAUGGUCUAAGGAAAAGAUACUUGGCACUAGAAAAGCUCGAGCAUACGAAUUACACGAUCUUGUGCUAGGCUUAGGAUUGGGUCUUGUCCAUCACAUCAUUCUCCUAAUGGUGUGAUCCCGUUAUCAACGACAUCCAAUGUCCAUGGUCAGGAAACCGUAACCAUCUAUUGAUCAACGAGCUAGUCAACUAGAGGCUCAGUAGGGACAUGUUGUGGUCUAUGUAUUCACUCAUGUAUUACGAUUUCCGGAUAACACAAUUAUAGCAUGAACAAUAGACAAUUAUCAUGAACAAGGAAAUAUAAUAACAACCAUUUUAUUAUUGCCUCUAGGGCAUAUUUCCAACAGUCUCCCACUUGCACUAGAGUCAAUAAUCUAGUUACAUUGUGAUGAAUCGAACACCCAUAGAGUACUGGUAUUGAUCAUGUUUUGCUCGUGGAAGAGGUUUAGUCAACGAAUCUGCAACAUUCAGGUUUGUAUGCACUUUACAAAUAUCUAUGUCUCCAUUUUGAACAUUUUCACGAAUGGAGUUGAAGCGACGCUUGAUAUGCCUGGUCUUCUUGUGAAGCCUAGGCUCCUUGGCAAGGGCAAUGGCUACAGUGUUGUCACAGAAGAGAGUCAUCAGGCCCGACGCAUUGGGAAUAACUCCUAGGUCGGUAAUGAACUCCUUCAUCUAGAUUGCUUCAUGUGCUGCCUCCGAGGCUGCCAUGUACUCCGCUUCACAUGUAGAUCCCGCCACAACGCUUUGCUUGCAACUACACCAGCUGACUGCCCCACCAUUCAAAAUAUACACGUAUCCGGUUUGUGACUUGGAGUCAUCCAGAUUUGUGUCGAAGCUAGUAUCGACAUAACCCUUUACGACGAGCUCUUUGUCACCUCCAUAAAUGAGAAACAUGUCCUUAGUCCUUUUCAGGUACUUCGGGAUAUUCUUGACUGUUGUCCAGUGUUCCAUGCUGGGAUUACUUUGGUACCUUCCUACCAAACUUACGGCAAGGUUAACAUCAAGUCUGGUACAUAGCAUGGCAUACAUGAUAGACCCUAUGGCCGAGGCAUAGGGGAUGACACUCAUCUUUUCUCUAUCUUCUGCCGUGGUCGGGCAUUGAGUUGUGCUCAAUCUCACACCUUGCAAUACAGGCAAGAACCCCUUCUUGGACUGAUCCAUAUUGAACUUUUUCAAUAUCUUGUCAAGGUACAUGCUUUGUGAAAGACCAAUGAGGCGUCUCGAUCUAUCUCUAUAGAUCUUGAUGCCUAAUAUAUAAGCAGCUUCUCCAAGGUCCUUCACUGAAAAACACUUAUUCAAGUAGGCCUUUAUGCUUUCCAAGAGUUCUAUAUCAUUUCCCAUCAAUAAUAUGUCAUCCACAUAUAAUAUGAGAAAUGCCACAGAGCUCCCACUCACUUUCUUGUAAACACAGGCUUCUUUAUAAAUCUGUGUAAACCCAAACGCUUUGAUCAUCUCAUCAAAGUGAAUGUUCCAACUCUGAGAUGCUUGCACCAGCCCAUAGAUUGAGCGCUAGAGCUUGCAUACCUUGUCAGCAUUCUUAGGAUCGACAAAACCUUCCGGCUGCAUCAUAUACAAUUCUUCCUUAAGGAAACCAUUAAUGAAUACCUUUUUGACGUCCAUUUGCCAUAUCUCAUAAUCAUAGAAUGCGGCAAUUUCUAACAUGAUUCAGACAGACUUCAGCUUCGCUACGGGUGAGAAGGUCUCACCAUAGUCAACCCCUUGAACUUGUCGAUAAUCCUUAGCGACAAGCCGAGCUUUAUAGAUGGUCACAUUGCCUUCCGCGUCUGUCUUCUUCUUAAAGAUCCAUUUAUUUUCUAUGGCUCGCCGAUCAUCGGGCAAGUCAGUCAAAGUCCAUACUUCAUGUUCAUACAUGGAUCCUAUCUCGGAUUUCAUGGCUUCAAGCCAUUUGUUGGAAUCCGGGACCGCCAUCACUUCCUAAUAGUUCGAAGGUUCACCGUUGUCUAACAUCAUGAUUUCUAGGACAGGGUUGCCGUACCACUCUGGUGCGGAAUGUGUCCUUGUGGACCUAUGAAGUUCAGUAGCAACUUGAUCUGAAGUUUCAUGAUCAUCGUCAUUAACUUCCUCUCUAGUCGGUGCAGGCACCACAGAAACAUUUUCUUGAGCUGCGCCACUUUCCGGUUCAAGAGGAAGUACCUCAUCAAGUUCUACUUUCCUCCCACUUACUUCUUUCGAGAGAAACUCUUUCUCUAGAACGGAUCCAUUCUUGGCAACAAAGAUCUUGCCUUCGGAUCUGAGGUAGAAGGUAUACCCAAUAGUUUCCUUAGGGUAUCCUAUGAAGACACAUUUUUCCGACUUGGGUUCGAGCUUUUCAGGUUGAAGUUUCUUGACAUAAGCAUCGCAUCCCCAAACUUUCAGAAAUGACAGCUUAGGUUUCUUCCCAAACCAUAAUUCAUACGGUGUCGUCUCACGGAUUUCGACGGAGCCCUAUUUAAAGUGAAUGAGGCAGUCUCUAAAGCAUAACCCCAAAAUGACAGCGGUAGAUCGGUAAGAGACAUCAUAGAUCGCACCAUAUCCAAUAGAGUGUGAUUACGAUGUUCAGACACACCAUUACGCUGAGGUGUUCCAGGCGGCGUGAGUUGUGAAACAAUUCCACAUUUCCUUCAGUGUGUGCCAAAUUUGUGACUCAAGUAUUCUCCCCCAUGAUUUGAUCGCAAGAACUUUAUUUUCCUGUCACGUUGAUUCUCUACCUCAUUAUGAAAUUCCUUGAACUUUUCAAAGGUCUCAGACUUGUGUUUCAUUAAGUAGACAUACCCAUAUCUACUCAAGUCAUCAGUGAGGGUGAGAACAUAACGAUAGCCACCGCGAGCCUCAACGCUCAUUGGACCGCACACAUCAGUAUGUAUGAUUUCCAAUAAGUUGGUUGCUCGCUCCAUUGUUCCGGAGAACAGAGUCUUGGUCAUUAUUCCCAUGAGGCAUGGUUCGCACGUGUCAAAUGAUUCAUAAUCAAGAGACUCCAAAAGUCCAUCUGCAUGGAGUUUCUUCAUGUGUUUAACACCAAUGUGACCAAGGUGGCAGUGCCACAAGUAUGUGGGACUAUCAUUAUCAACCUUACACUUCUUGGUAUUCACACUAUGAAUAUGUGUAACAUCACGUUCGAGAUUAAACAAGAAUAAACCAUUGAUCAGCGGGGCAUGACCAUAAAACAUAUCUCUCAUAUAAAUGGAACAACCAUUAUUCUCGGAUUUAAAUGAGUAGCCAUCUCGCAUUAAACAAGAUCCAUAUACAAUGUUCAUGCUCAAAGCUGGUACUAAAUAACAAUUAUUGAGGUUUAAAACUAAUUCCAUAGGUAAAUGUAGAGGCAACAUGCCGACGGUGAUCACAUCGACCUUAGAACCAUUCCCGACAUGCAUCGUCACCUCGUCCUUCGCCAGUCUACGCUUAUUCCGCAACUACUGUUUUGAGUUACAAAUAUGAGCAACCGCACCGGUAUCAAAUACCCAGGAGCUACUACGAGCGCUAGUUAGGUACACAUCAAUAACAUGUAUAUCACAUAUACCUUUGGUAUUGCUGGCCUUCUUAUCCGCUAAGUACUUGGGGCAGUUCCGCUUCCAGUGACUGUUUCCCUUGCAAUAAAAGCACUCAGUCUCAGGUUUGGGUCCAUUCUUUGGCUUCUUCCCGGUAGCUUGCUUACCGGGCGCGACAACUCCCUUGUCGUCCUUCUUGAAGUUCUUUUUAUCCUUGUCUUUCUUGAACUUAGUGGUUUUAUUCACCAUCAACACUUGAUGUUCCUUUUUGAUCUCCACCUCCGCUGAUUUCAGCAUUGAAUAUACCUCAUGAAUAGUCUUUUCCAUCCCCUGCAUAUUGAAGUUCAUCACAAAGCUCUUGUAGCUAGGUGGAAGUGACUGAAGGAUUCUAUCAACGACUGCAUCAUCCGGGAGAUUGACUCCCAGCCGAGACAAGCGGUUGUGCAACCCAGACAUCUUGAGUAUGUGCUCGCUGACAGAACUAUUCUCCUCCAUCUUACAACUGUAGAACUUGUCAUAGACUUCAUAUCUCUCGACUUGGGCAUGAGCUUGUAAAACCAUUUUCAUCUCUUGGAACAUCUCAUAUGCUCUGUGCUGCUCAAAACGCUUUUGGAUCCCCGAUUCUAAGCUGUAAAGCAUGCCGCACUGAACCAGGGAGUAAUCAUCACUAUGCGACUGCCAGGCAUUCAUAACGUCUUGAGUUGCUGGGAAAAUGGGCACUUCACCUAGCGGUGCUUCAAGGACAUAUGCUUUCUUGGCAGCUAUGAGGAUAAUCCUCAGGUUACGGACCUAGUUUGUGUAGUUGCUACCAUCAUCUUUCAGCUUGGUUUUCUCUAGAAACGCGUUGAAGUUGAGGGCAACAUUAGCAUGGGCCAUUUGAUCUACAAGACAUAUUGCAAAGUUUUUAGACUAUGUUCAUGAUAAUUAAGUUCAUCUAAUCAAAUUAUUUAAUGAACUCCCACUCAGAUAGACAUCCAUCUAGUCAUCUAAGUGAUACAUGAUCCAAAUCGACUAGGCCGUGUCCAAUCAUCACGUGAGACGGACUAGUCAUCAAUGGUGAACAUCUCCAUGUUGAUCGUAUCUUCUAUACGACUCAUGUUCGACCUUUUGGUCUUCUGUGUUCCGAGGCCAUGUCUGUACAUGCUAGGCUCGUCAAGUCAACCUAAGUGUAUUGCAUGCGUAAAUCUAGCUUACACCCGUUGUAUGCGAGCGUUAGAACCUAUCACACCUGAUCAUCACGUGGUGCUUCGGAACAACACACCUUAGCAACGAUGCACAGUCAGGGGGAAUACUUUCUUGAAAUUAUUGCGAGGGAUCAUCUUAUUUAAGCUACCGUCGUUCUAAGCAAAUAAGAUGUAAAAGCAUGAUAAACAUCACAUGCAAUCAAAUAGUGCCAUGAUAUGGCCAAUAUCAUUUUGCUCCUUUUGAACUCCAUCUCUGGGGCGCCACGAUCAUCAUCGUCACCGGCAUGACACCAUGACCUCCAUCAUCAUGAUCUCCAUCAUCGUGUCUUCAUGAAGUUGUCUCACCAACUAUUACUUCUACUACUAUGGCUAACGGUUAGCGAUAAAGUAAAGUAAUUACAUGACAUUUAUGUUGACACGCAGGUCAUAAAUAAAUUAAGACAACUCCUAUGGCUCCUGCCGGUUGUCAUACUCAUCGACAUGCAAGUCGUGAUUCCUAUUACAAAAACAUGAUCAAUCUCAUACAUCACAUAUAUCAUUUAUCACAUCCUUUUGGCCAUAUCACAUCACACGGCAUAUGCCGCAAGAACAAGUUAGACGUCCUCUAAUUGUUGUUGCAAGUUUUUACGUGGCUGCUAUAGGUUUCUAGCAAUAAUGUUUCUUACCUAUGCCAAAACCACAAUGUGAUAUGCCAACUUCUAUUUACCCUUCAUAAGGACCCUUUUCAUCAAAUCCGAUCUGACUAAAGUGGGAGAGACAGACACUCGCUAGCCACCUUAUGCAAGUAGUGCAUGUCAGUCGGUGGAACCAGUCUCACGUAAGAGUACGUGUAAGGUCGGUCCGGGCCGCUUCAUCCCACAAUGCCGCCGGAUCAAGAUAAGACUAGUAACAGCAAGUAAAUUGACAAAAUCGACGCCCACAACAACUUGUGUUCUACUCGUGCAUAGAAACUACGCAUAGACCUAGCUCAUGAUGCCACUGUUGGGAAUCAUUGCAGGAAUUUAAAAAAAUCUACGCAUCACCAAGAUCAAUCUAUGGAAAGACUAGCAACGAGAGAGAUGGGAGCGUAUCUUCAUACCCUUGAAUAUCGCGAAACAAAGCGUUACAAGAACGCGGAUGAAGGAGUCGUACACGAAGCGAUUCAGAUCGCGGCCGAAUCCGAUCUAAGCACCGAACAACGGUGCCUCCGCAUUCAACACACGUGCACCCCGGUGACGUCUCCUGCGCCUUGAUCCAGCAAGGGGAGAGGUAGAGGUUGGGGAAGACUCCGUCCAGUAGCAGCACGACGACGUGGUGGUGGUGGACGAGCGUGGCACUCCAGCAGGGUUUCGCCAAGCACUGCGAGAGAUGAGGAGGGAGAGGGGUAGGGCUACGCCAAGAGAGAGGGAGAGUCGCGUCCCUGGCAACCCCAAAACCCCCACUAUAUAUAGGGGGGGAGGGGCUGCGCCCCCAUCUAGGGUUCCCCCUAGGGGUGGCGGCCAGCCCUAGAUGCAUCUACGGGGGCGGCCAGAGGGGGAGAGAGGGGGGCGCACCCUAGGUGGGCCUUAGGCCCAUCUGAGCCUAGGGUUUCCCCUUCUCCCCUUACCUGCACCUUGGGCCUCUUGUGGGAGGCGCACCAGCCCACCUAGGGGCUGGUCCCUUCCCACACUUGGCCCACACAAGUCUCCGGGGCUGGUGGGCCCUCCCGGUGGACCCCUGAACCCUUUCGGUGGUCCCGGUACGUUACCGAUAACGCCCAGAACACUUCCGGUGUCCAAAACGGGACUUCCCAUAUAUAAAAUAUUUACCUUCGGACCAUUCCAGAACUCCUCGUGACGUCCGGGACUCUGAACAACAUUCGGCAACCACGUACAUCUAUUCCCUAUAACCCUAGUGUCAUCGAACCUUAAGUGUGUAGACCCUACGGGUUCGGGAACCAUGCAGACAUGACCGAGACAUCUCUCCGGCCAAUAACCAACAGCGAGAUCUGGAUACCCAUGUUGGCUCCCACAUGUUCCACGGUGAUCUCAUCGGAUGAACCACGAUGUCAAGGAUUCAAUCAAUCCCGUAAAUGAUUCCCUUUGUCUACCGCUAUAGUACUUGCCCGAGAUUCGAUCGUCGGUAUAGCGAUACCUUGUUCAAUCUCAUUACGGCAAGUCUCUUUACUCAUUCCGUAACACAUCAUCCCGUGACCAACCCCUUAGUCACAUUGAGCUCAUUACGAUGAUGUCUUAUUGAGUGGGCCCAGAGAUACCUCUCCGUCAUACGGAGUGACAAAUCCCAGUCUCGAUUCGUGCCAACCCAACAGAUACUUUCGGAGAUACCCGUAGUGCACCUUUAUAGCCACCCAGUUACGUUGUGACAUUUGGCACACCCAAAGCAUUCCUACGGUAUCCGGGAGUUGCACAAUCUCAUGGUCUAAGGAAAAGAUACUUGGCAUUAGAAAAGCUUUAGCAUACGAACUACACGAUCUUGUGCUAGGCUUAGGAUUGGGUCUUGUCCAUCACAUCAUUCUCCUAAUGAUGUGAUCCCGUUAUCAACGACAUCCAAUGUCCAUGGUCAGAAAACCGUAACCAUUUAUUGAUCAACGAGCUAGUCAACUAGAGGCUCACUAGGGACAUGUUGUGGUCUAUGUAUUGACACAUGUAUUACGAUUUCCGGAUAACACAAUUAUAGCAUGAACAAUAGACAAUUAUCAUGAACAAGGAAAUGUAAUAAUAACCAUUUUAUUAUUUGCCUCUAGGGAAUAUUUCGAACAGUGACUCUCACGAAAGCACAACCGUGUCCCUCGCGGAAGCAAAACCGUGACUCUCGCGAAAGAAAGAAAAAUAGAAAACACGUUUUGUUUUUCCUUUUCCGAAAGGCACGGCCGUGACUCCCACGAAAGCACAACCGUGCCUCUCAUGGAAGCAAAACCGUGACUCUCGUGGAAGAAAAAAACGGAAAACACGUUUUUUCCGUUUUUGAAAGGCACGGCCGUGACUCUUGCUAAAGCACUACUGUGCCUCUCGCGGAAAAAAACCGCGACUUUCGCGAAAGAAAAAAACAUAUUUUUUUGCAAAAAAAAUUAUUUUUUUAUCGAAAAGCUAAGGAAGACCAGGGGAAAACCACAACAUCGAAAAAACCCUGAAAAAACUGUUUAAAAGCCGAAAUCGAGUGCGGAAAAAUAAAAAAAAUAAAAUCCGGAGGGAGCGUCCAGAGCGCGACACAUGGCGAAUGGCUGAGAGCGCGUCAAGUGACGCUGAUCGUUGCGAGGCUCCCGAAGAAGCGCUCGGUAACUAGUUGCUCCCCACAAAGAAUCCCGAUAGAGAAAAUAAAAAUGUCGGGACCCCGAUCCUAAGUCACACCAAUCUAACAUGUAACACAUCAUAUCACUUUGCAGCCUCACACAUGGUAUCCCUACGGGUGCCACCUUACCUGGCCCAGGACCGUUUGCGCCUUUUGGCUCACAUAUAUGAUAGUGUCGCUAGCAUCCAUAUGACAAAGAACCCGGGCCGACAUGACUAGUCGUAAACCCAAGGUGGCACUAAUUAUGGAAACAGGCAUACAUGACCCAGCAAUGCCCAUGUCGGUCAACAUACGAGUGAAUCCGGGCUGUAGCAAUGCUAACAGGACUCCGGUAGUCAUCGCGAGACAUUCCCCGAAGGGCGGACAUAGGAGCAAAGAAGGACACAUGCCGGUCAAUCCAUGUCUUCCGGAGCAGUAGCAAGCUACCAAGGCUCAGUGGAAGCACUAGGAGGCAUUUUCCCAUAAAGUAGGCUACCAAGAAUAAACAACUAGGUGUCGGAUCCCACACAUACCAAGCAUUUCAAUAUCAUACACACAAUAUGCUUGAUAUGUAUAGAUACAACAUGGCAUCACAACAUAACUCUACAACUCAUAUAUUGGCAAGGCUCAGAGGAGCCAACAUAUUAUUUAUUACAAGCAGCGGGUCAUCAUGACCCAUCAAUUAGAACAUACAAGCAACAAGCGGAAGCAUAACAUGUCUGGGUACAGACAUCUACAAAAGGAAAAGACUAAGAAGCCUGACUAAACAAGACCCUUCCAAGGGCACAAGAUCGUAGUUGGGAUACAAGCUAAUCGUCGAAGUCACUAGUGUAUCCAACUGCAAAACAUAAAUAAGCAAACGUGAGUACGAAGGUACUCAGCAAGUCUUACAUCAGAACUAUCUACAAAUGCAACAUUAUCAACAAAGGGGGUGGUGGAGUUUUAACAGCAGCAAGCCAGCUUUGACUUAGUGGCUAACCUAUACUACGAGUAUCAGAAACUUCUUUGAGGUGAGAAGACGCACACAAGUCCACAUAUUCACCAUAUCAAUACUCCACUAUGGAUAUGUUCCCGUCUCUCUACGAGAAGGCCAUCCAUAGAACUCACGCUUAUCUUGCGUACUUUAGAGUAUCCACUUCAAGUUGUCUAUGUAACAUAACUCCUCCAAGUUUCCAUAUCCGAGGAAAACGGCUAUUCGAAUAGAUAAUGUUAACCCUACAGGGGUGUACUUCUUCACACGCGCUCUCGCCACUUAUCGCCUUGUACACGUCAUGUACCUAGGCAACCUUCAAGCGGAAGCCGGGCGAGGGUGUCGGCCACGACCUGACUAACCACACAAGUCUCUCGUCCAGGUUUAUCGCCUAUUCGAGUUCCAUCCGCAAGGAGUUCCGGCUGAAGUCUCCAGUACGGCCCCAAACGAUGUAUGCAGGGUUCCCAAGCCCACCAUCCGGGUGCCACUUGGUACACUGUGCCACGAUGCCUAGUCUGUCCCAAGCCCGUCCCGUCGGACACCACCUGGUAGACAACUAGCACUACCUACAAACGCCAGAAACUAGUUGCAACUCCUGGACAGAGAUCAAGUAGGUUAAUAAGCCGAGAGGGGCCGGAUAACCGGAACCCAAUGUGUGGUAGUAACUGGACUUGGAUAACAUACACAGAACUCAGUGCUUAGGGACGGUUCCAAUGAGACAACCCACCAUGUACUUGAAGGAAAUAUGCCCUAGAGGCAAUAAUAAAGUUAUUAUUUAUUUCCUUAUAUCAUGAUAAAUGUUUAUUAUUCAUGCUAGAAUUGUAUUAACCGGAAACAUAAUACAUGUGUGAAUACAUAGACAAACAGAGUGUCACUGGUAUGCCUCUACUUGACUAGCUCGUUGAUCAAAGAUGGUUAUGUUUCCUAACCAUAAACAUCAGUUGUCAUUUGAUUAACGGGAUCACAUCAUUAGGAGAAUGAUGUGAUUGACUUGACCCAUUCCGUUAGCUUAGCACUUGAUCGUUUAGUUUGUUGCUAUUGCUUUCUUCAUGACUUAUACAUGUUCCUAUGACUGAGAUUAUGCAACUCCCGUUUACCGGAGGAACACUUUGUGCGCUACCAAAAGUCACAACGUAACUGGGUGAUUAUAAAGGUGCUCUACAGGUGUCUCCAAAGGUACUUGUUGGGUUGGCGUAUUUCGAGAUUAGGAUUUGUCACUCCGAUUGUCGGAGAGGUAUAUCUGGGCCCACUCGAUAAUGCACUCACUAUAAGCCUUGCAAGCAUUGCAACUAAUGAGUUAGUUGUAGGAUGAUGUAUUACGGAACGAGUAAAGGGACUUUCCGGUAAUGAGAUUGAACUAGGUAUUGAGAUACCGACGAUCGAAUCUUAGGCAAGUAACAUACCGAUGACAAAGGGAACAACGUAUGUUGUUAUGCGUCUGACCGAUAAAGAUCUUCGUAGAAUAUGUAGGAGCCAAUAUGAGCAUCCAGGUUCCGCUAUUGGUUAUUGACCAGAGACGUGUCUCGGUCAUGUCUACAUAGUUCUCGAACCCGUAGGGUCCGCAUGCUUAACCCGUAGGAACCGGGGGGUUACCGAAACCCCUCGGGGGCUUAAUGGGCCUACAUGGGCCUUAGUGGCAAAGGAGGGAAGAAAGGGAAGUGUGGGGCGCGCCCCCCCAAGGCCCAAACCGAAUUGGUUUAGGGCAAAGGGGGCCGGCGCCCCUCUUUCGUUCUUCCCCCCUCCCAAGUCCUAAUCCAACUAGGAAAAGGGGGAGUCCUACUCCCGGUGGGAGUAGGACUCCUCCGGCGUGCCUCUCCCCUUGGCCGACCACACCCCCCCUUGCUCCUUUAUAUACAGGGGCAGGGGGCACCCCAUAGACACAACAAGUUGAUCAAGUUGAUCGUCUCUUAGCCGUGUGCGGUGCCCCCCUCCACCAUAGUCCACCUCGGUAAUAUUGUAGUGGUGCUUAGGUGAAGCCCUGCGUCGGUAGAACAUCAUCAUCGUCACCACGCCGUCGUGCUGACGAAACUCUCCCUCAAAACUCGACUGGAUCGGAGUUCGAGGGACGUCAUCGGGCUGAACGUGUGCUGAACUCGAAGGUGUCGUGCGUUCGGUACUUGAUUGAUUGGAUCAUGAAGACGUACGACUACAUCAACCGCGUUAUGAUAAUGCUUCCGCUUUCGGUCUACGAGGGUACGUAGACAAUACUCUCCCCUCUCGUUGCUAUGCAUCACCAUGAUCUUGCGUGUGCGUAGGAAUUUUUUUGAAAUUACUAUGUUCCCCAACAGUGGUAUCAGAGCAAGGGUUUAUGCAUUGAUGUAAUAUGCACGAGUAGAACACAAGUGAGUUGUGGGCGAUAUAAGUCAUACUGCUUACCAACAUGUCACACUUUGGUUCGGCGGUAUUGUUGGAUGAAGCGGCCCGGGCCGACAUUACGCAUACGCUUACGCGAGACUGGUUCUACCGACGUGCUUUGCCCACAGGUGGCUGGCGGGUGUGAUGUCUACUACACAACCUUUUUCUUGUAGACGUUGUUGGGCCUCCAAGUGUAGAGGUUUGAAGGACAGUACCAAAUUUCCCUCAAGUAGAUGACCUAAGGUUUAUCAAUCCGUAGGAGGCGUAGGAUGAAGAUGGUCUCUCUCAAGCAACCCUGCAACCAAAUAACAAAGAGUCUCUUGUGUCCCCAACACACCCAAUAAAAUGGUAAGUUGUAUAGGUGCACUAGUUCGGCGAAGAGAUGGUGAUACAAGUGCAAUAUGGAUGGUAGAUAAAGGUAUUUGUAAUCUGAAAUUAUAAAAACAGCAAGGUAACUAAUGAUAAAAGUGGGCGUAAAUGGUAUUGCAAUGUGUUGAAACAAGGCCUAGGGUUCAUACUUUCACUAGUGCAAGUCCUCUCAACAAUACUAACAUAAUUGGAUCAUAAAACUAUCCCUCAACAUGCAACAAAGAGUCACUCCAAAGUCACUUAUAGCGGAGAACGAACAAAGAGAUUAUGGUAGGGUACGAAACCACCUCAAAGUUAUUCUUUCCAAUCAAUCUGUUGGGCUAUUCCUAUAAGUGUCACAAACAGCCCUAGAGUUCGUACUAGAACAACACCUUAAGAUACAAAUCAACCAAAACCCUAAUGUCACCUAGAUACUCCAAUGUCACCUCAAGUAUCCGUGGGCAUGAUUAUACAAUAUGCAUCACACAAUCUCAGAUUCAUCUAUUCAACCAACACAAAGGACCUCAAAGAGUGCCCCAAAGUUUCUACCGGAGAAUCACGACGAAAACGUGUGCCAACCCCUAUGCAUAGGUUCAUGGGCGAAACCCGUAAGUUGGUCACCAAAACAUACAUCAAGUGAAUCACGUGAUAUCCCAUUGUCACCACAGAUAUCCACGGCAAGACAUACAUCAAGUGUUCUCAAAUAUUUAAAGACUCAAUCCGAUAAGAUUACUUCAAAGGGGAAACUCAAUUCAUUACAAAAGAGUAGAGGGGGAGAAAACAUCAUAGGAUCCAAAUAUAAUAGCAAAGCUCGCGAUACAUCAAGAUCGCAUCACCUCAAGAACACGAGAGAGAGAGAGAUCAAACACAUAGCUACUGGUACAUACCCUCAGCCCCGAGGGAGAACUACUCCCUCCUCAUCAUGGAGAGCACCGGGAUGAUGAAGAUAGCCACCGGAGAAGGAUUGCCCCCUCCGGCAGGGUGCCAGAACGGGUCUAGAUUGGUUUUCGGUGGCUACGGAGGCUUCUGGCGGCGGAAAUCCCGAUCUAAUCUUCUUUCUAGAACUUUUAGGGUACAACGAUAUAUAUAUGGGUGCAGGAAGUACGUCGGAGGAGCCACGGGGUCCCCACGAGGCAGGGGGCGCGCCCUAGGGGGGCGCCCCCCACCCUCGUGAGCACCUCCCGUAUCUCCUGACGUGGAGUCCAAUUCUAUCCGGUGGCUUUCGUUCCAAAAAUAACUUCUCCAGUUGAUUUCAUUCCGUUUCGACUCCGUUUGAUAUUCCUUUUCUUCGAAACACUGAAAUAGGCAUAAAACAGCAAAUCUGGGUUGGGCCUCCGGUUAAUAGGUUAUUCCCAAAAAUAAUAUAAAAGUGGAUAAUAAAGCCCAUAAACAUCCAAAACAGUAGAUAAUAUAGCAUGGAGCAAUCAAAAAAUAUAGAUAUAUUGGAGACGUAUCAAGCAUCCCCAAGCUUAAUUCCUGUUCGUCCCCGAGUAGGUAAAUGAUAAAAAAGAUAAUUUUUGAUGUGGAAUGCUACGUCAUAAUUUCAAUGUAAUUCUUCUUACUUGUGAUAUGAAUAUUCAGAUCCGAAAGAUUCAAGACGAAAGUUCAUAUUGACAUAAAAAUAAUAAUACUUCAAGCAUACUAGCUAAGCAAUUAUGCCUUCUCAAAAUAACAUGGCCAAAGAAAGCUAUCCCUACAAAAUCAUAUAGUCUGGCUAUGCUCUAUCUUCACCACACAAAAUAUUUAAAUCAUGCACAACCCCGAUGACAAGCCAAGCAAUUGUUUCAUACUGUUGAUGUUCUCAAACUUUUUCAAUAUUCACGCAAUACAUGAGCGUGAGCCAUGGAUAUAGCACUAUAGGUGGAAUAGAGUGGUGGUUGUGGAGAAGACAAAAAGGGGGAAGAUAGUCUCACAUCAACUACGCAUAUCAACGGGCUAUGGAGAUGCCCAUCAAUAGAUAUCAAUGUGAGUGAGUAGGGAUUGCCAUGCAACGGGUGCACUAGAGCUAUAAAUGUAUGAAAGCUCAACAAAAGAAACUAGUUGGUGUGCAUCCAACUCGCUUGCUCACGAAGACCUAGGGCAUUUUGAGGAAGCCCGUCAUUGGAAUAUACAAGCCAAGUUCUAUAAUGAAAAUUUCCCACUAGUAUAUGAAAGUGACAGAACAAGAGACUCUCUAUCAUAAAGAUCAUGGUGCUACUUUGAAGCACAAGUGUGGAAAAAGGAUAGUAGCAUUGUCCCUUUUAUUUAUUUAUUUUAUUUUUAUUUGGCCUUUCUCUUUUUUUUGGCCUCCCUCUUUUUUUUGGGACAAUGCUCUAUUGAAUGAUGAUCAUCACACUUCUAUUUAUUUACAACUCAAUGAUUACAACUCGAUACUAGAACAAAGUAUGACUCUAUAUGGAUUCCUCCGGCGGUGUAACGGGAUAUCUAAUGAAUCAAGAGUGACAAGUAUGAAAGAAUUAUCAACGGUGGCUUUGCCACAAAUACUAUGUCAACUACAUGAUCAUGAUAGCAAUAUGACAAUGAUGAAUGUGUCAUGAUGAACGGAAUGAUGGAAAGUUGCAUGGUAAUAUGUCUCGGAAUGGCUAUGGAAAUGCCAUAAUAGGUAGGUAUGGUGGCUGUUUUGAGGAAGGUAUAUGGUGGGUUUAUGGUACCGGCGAAAGUUGUGCGGUACUAGAGAGGCUAGCAAUGGUGGAAGGGUGAGAGUGCGUAUAAUCCAUGGACUCAACAUUAGUCAUAAAGAACUCACAUACUUAUCGCAAAAAUCUAUUAGUUAUCGAAACAAUGUACUACACGCAUGCUUCUAGGGGGUAGAUUGGUAGGAAAAGACCAUCGCUCGUCCCUGGCCGCCACUCAUAAGGAAGGCAAUCGAUAAAUAAAUCAUGCUCCGACUUCAUCACAUAACGGUUCACCAUAUGUGCAUGCUACAGGAAUCACAAACUUCAACACAAGUAUCUCUCAAAUUCACAACUACUCAACUAGCAUGACUCUAAUAUCACCAUCUCCAUAUCUCAAAACAAUUAUCAAGUAUCAAACUUCUCAUAGUAUUCAACACACUCAUAAGAGAAUUUUAUUAUUCUUGAAUACAUAGCAUAUUAGAAUUUUAAGAAAAUUACUAUGCUAUUUAAGACUCUCAAAAUAAUAUAAGUUAAGCAUGAGAGUUCAUCUAUUUCUUCAAAAUAAAACUACGACCAUGCUCUAAAAGAUAUAAGUGAAGCACUAGAGCAAAUGACAAACUACUCCGAAAGAUAUAAGUGAAGAUCAAUGAGUAGUCAAAUAAUUAUGCAACUAUGUGAAGACUCUCUAACAUUUAAUAAUUUCAGACCUUGGUAUUCUAUUCAAACAGAAAGCAAAGCAAAAGAAAAUGACAUUCUAAGAAUAGCAAACAUCAUGUGAAGAAGCAAAAACUUAGGAUCAACCAAAACUAACCGAUAGUUGUUGAGGAAGAAAGGUGGGAUGCCAACCGGGGCAUCCCCAAGCUUAGAUGCUUGAGACUUCUUAAAAUAUUAUCUUGGGGUGCCUUGGGCAUCCCCAAGCUUGAGCUUUUGUGUCUCCUUAAUUCCUCUCAUAUCACGGUCUCCCCAAAUCUCAAAAGCUUCAUCCACACAAAACUCAACAAGGACUCGUGAGAUAAGUUAGUAUAAACCAUUGCAAAAACCUUAUCAUACUCUACUGUAUCAAACCAAUAAAAUUAUUAUUCAACAUUUCAUACUAAAUUCCUCUGCAUAUUUAAUAGUCAUAUCCUCAAAUAUAAUCAUUAAAUAAGCAAACAUAUGCAAACAAUGCAAACAUAACAGCAAUCUGCCUAAACAGGAUAGUCUGUAAAGAAUGCUGCAACAUACAUACUUCCCUAACUCCAAAAAUUAUGAAAGAAAAUUCACACUGUAGUAAAUUUAUCAGAUCUUAAUAUUCAAAAGGUUUCAACAUUUUAUCACAUUCUGACUUUUCUAGGGAAUUAUUGCAACAGCGGUAAACUUUCUGUUUUCAAACAGCAACAUGUAAACUUGUAACAUAGGCAUAGUAAAGGCUAUCAAUGCCACUUUUAUUGAAAUAAAAGAUGAAAAACAUUGUUCUAAAUAACAGCAAGCAAAUCUUAACAAAAUAAAUUGACGCUCCAAGCAAAACACAUAUCAUGUGGUGAAUAAAAAUAUAGCUCCAAGUAAAGUUACCGAUGAAAGAAGACGAAAGAGGGAAUGCCUUCCGGGGCAUCCCCAAGCUUAGGCUCUUGGUUGUCCUUGAAUAUUACCAUGGGGUGCCUUGGGCAUCCCCAAGCUUAGGCUCUUUCCACUCCUUAUUCCAUAGUCCAUCGAAUCUUUACCCAAAACUUGAAAACUUCACAACACAAAACUUAACAGAAAACUCGUAAGCUCCGUUAGUAUAAGAAAAUAAAUCACCACUUCUAGGUACUGUAAUGAACUCAUUCUUUAUUUAUAUUGGUGUUAAACCUACUGUAUUCCAACUUCUCUAUGGUUUAUAAACUAUUUUACUAGUCAUAGAUUCAUCAAAAUAAGUAAACAACACAUGAAAACAGAAUCUGUCAAAAACAGAACAGUCUGUAGUAAUCUGGAUCAAACGUAUACUUAUGGAACUCAUAAAAUUCUCAAAUAAAUUGAUGGACCUGAGUAAUUUAUUAUUAAUCAUAUGAAAAAAGAAUUAACUAAAUAUCACUCUCCAAAUAAAAAUGGCAGCAAUUCUCGUGAGCGCUAAAGUUUCUGUUUUUUUUACAGCAUGAUCGCAAAGACUUUCCCCGAGUCUUCCCAAAGGUUCUACUUGGCACAAACACUACUUAAACACAUAAAACCACAUCUAAACAGAGUCUAGAUGAAUUAUUUAUUACUAAACAGGAGCAAAAAGCAAGGAACAAAAAUAUAAUUGGGUCGCCUCCCAACAAGCGCUAUCGUUUAACGCCCCUAGCUAGGCAUGAUGAUUUCAAUGAUGCUCACAUACAAGAUAAGAAUUGAAACAUAAAGAGAGCAUCAUGAAGAAUAUGACUAGCACAUUUAAGUCUAACAUACUUCCUAUGCAUAGGGAUUUUGUGAGCAAAUAACUUGUGGGAACGAGAAUCAACUUGCAUAGGAAGGUAAAACAAGCAUAACUUCAAAAUUUUAAGCACAUAGAGAGGAAACUUGAUAUUAUUGCAACUCCUACAAGCAUAUAUUCCUCCCUAAUAAUAAUUUUCAGUAGCAUCAUGAAUGAAUUCAACAAUAUAACCAGCACCUAAAGCAUUCUUUUCAUGAUCUACAAGCAUAGAAAAUUUACUACUCUCCACACAAGCAAAAUUCUUCUCAUGAAUAAUAGUGGGAGCAAACUCAACAAAAUAACUAUCAUGUGAUUGAAAAUUAAGAUCAAGAUGACAAGUUUCAUGGUUAUCAUUAUUCUUUAAAGCAUACGUGUCAUCACAAUAAUCAUCAUAGAUAGGAGGCAUGCUUUCAUCAUAAUAAAUUUGCUCAUCAAAACUUGGGGGACAAAAAAUAUCAUCUUCAUCAAACAUAGCUUCCCCAAGCUUGUGGCUUUGCAUAUCAUUAGCAUCAUGGAUAUUCAAGGAAUUCAUACUAACAACAUUGCAAUCAUGCUCAUCAUUCAAAUAUUUAGUGCCAAACAUUUUAUAAAUUUCUUCUUCUAGCACUUGAGCACAAUUAUCCUUUCCAUCAUACUCACGAAAGAUAUUAAAAAGGUGAAGCGUAUGAGACAAACUCAAUUCCAUUUUUUGUAAUUUUCUUUUAUAAACUAAACUAGUGAUAAAACAAGAAACUAAAUGACUCGAUUGCAAGAUCUAAAGAUAUACCUUCAAGCGCUAACCUCCCCGGCAACGGCGCUAGAAAAGAGCUUGAUGUUUACUACACAACCUUCUUCCUGUAGACGUUGUUGGGCCUCCAAGUGCAGAGGUUUGUAGGACAGUAGCAAAUUUCCCUCAAGUGGAUGACCUAAGGUUUAUCAAUCUGUAGGAGGCAUAGGAUGAAGAUGGUCUCUCUCAAGCAACCCUGCAACCAAAUAACAAAGAGUCUCUUGUGUCCCCAACACACCCAAUACAAUGGUAAGUUGUAUAGGUGCACUAGUUCGGCGAAGAUAUGGUGAUACAAGUGCAAUAUGGAUGGUAGAUAAAGGUACUUGUAAUCUGAAAUUAUAAAAACAGCAAGGUAACUAAUGAUAAAAGUGGGCGUAAACGGUAUUGCAAUGUGUUGAAACAAAGCCUAGGGUUCAUACUUUCACUAGUGCAAUUCCUCUCAACAAUACUAACAUAAUUGGAUCAUAAAACUAUCCCUCAACAUGCAACAAAGAGUCACUCCAAAGUCACUAAUAGCGGAGAACGAAAGAAGAGAUUAUGGUAGGGUAUGAAACCACCUCAAAGUUAUUCUUUCCAAUCAAUCCGUUGGGCUAUUCCUAUAAGUGUCACAAACAGCCCUAGAGUUCGUACUAGAACAACACCUUAAGAUACAAAUCAACCAAAACCCUAAUGUCACCUAGAUACUCCAAUGUCACCUCAAGUAUCCGUGGGCAUGAUUAUACGAUAUGCAUCACACAAUCUCAGAUUCAUCUAUUCAACCAACACAAAGGACCUCAAAGAGUGCCCCAAAGUUUCUACCGGAGAAUCACGACGAAAACGUGUGCCAAACCCUAUGCAUAGGUUCAUGGGCGAAACCCGUAAGUUGGUCACCAAAACAUACAUCAAGUGAAUCACGUGAUAUCCCAUUGUCACCACAGAUAUCCAUGGCAAGACAUACAUCAAGUGUUCUCAAAUCUUUAAAGAUUCAAUCCGAUAAGAUUACUUCAAAGGGGAAACUCAAUUCAUUACAAGAGAGUAGAGGGGGGAGAAAACAUUAUAGGAUCCAAAUAUAAUAGCAAAGCUCACGAUACAUCAAGAUCGCAUCACCUCAAGAACACGAGAGAGAGAUCAAACACAUAGCUACUGGUACAUACCCUCAGCCCCGAGGGAGAACUACUCCCUCCUCGUCAUGGAGAGCACCGGGAUGAUGAAGAUAGCCACCGGAGAAGGAUUGCCCCCUCCGGCAGGGUGUCGGAACGGGUCUAGAUUGGGUUUUCGGUGGCUACGGAGGCUUCUAGCGGCGGAACUCCCGAUCUAAUCUUCUUUCUGGAAGUUUUAGGGUACGACGAUAUAUAUGGGUGCAAGAAGUACGUCGGAGGAGCCACAAGGGCCCCAUGAGGCAGGGGGCGCGCCCUAGGGGGGGCGCCCCCACCCUCGUGAGCACCUCCCGUAUCUCUUGACGUGGAGUCCAAGUCUAUCCGGUGGCUUUCGUUCCAAAAAUAACUUCUCCAGUUGAUUUUGUUCCGUUUCGACUCCGUUUGAUAUUCCUUUUCUUCGAAACACUGAAAUAGGCAUAAAACAGCAAAUCUGGGAUGGGCCUCCGGUUAAUAGGUUAUUCCCAAAAAUAAUAUAAAAGUGGAUAAUAAAGCCCAUAAACAUCCAAAACAGUAGAUAAUAUAGCAUGUAGCAAUAAAAAAUUAUAUAUACGUUGGAGACGUAUCAGGGUGUCAGUUUCUCCAACUUUAUUUGAACCGAGUGUGGCUACGCCCGGUCCUUGCGAAGGUUAAAACAACACCAACUUGACAAACUAUCGUUGUGGUUUUGAUGCGUUGGUAAGAACGGUUCUUGCUCAGCCCGUAGCAGCCACGUAAAACUUGCAACAACAAAGUAGAGGACGUCUAACUUGUUUUUGCAGGGCAUGUUGUGAUGUGAUAUGGUCAAGACGUGAUGAGAUAUAAGUUGUUGUAUGAGAUGAUCAUGUUUUGUUGAAGUUAUCGGCAACUGGCAAAAGCCUUAUGGUUAUCUCUCUAUUGCAUAAGAUGCAAGCACCAAAUAAUUGCUUUACUUUAUCGCUAUGCGAUAGCAAUAGUUGCAAGAGCAAUUGUUGGCGAGACAACCAUGUGACGACACAUUGAUAUAGAUCAAGAUGAUGGAGAUCAUGGUGUCAUGCCGGUGACGAUGGAGAUCAUGACGAUGCUUUGGAGAUGGAGAUCAAAGGCAGAAGAUGAUGAUGGCCAUAUCAUGUCACAUAUUAUGAUUGCAUGUGAUGUUUACCUUUUAUACAUCUUAUUUUGCUUAGUUCGGCGGUAGCUUUAUAAGAUAAUCUCUCACUAAAUUAUCAAGGUAUAAGUGUUCUCCCUGAGUAUGCACCGUUGCGAAAGUUCUUCGUGCUGAGACACCACGUGAUGAUCGGGUGUGAUAGGCUCUACGUUCAAAUACAAUGGGUGCAAAACAGUUGCACACGCGGAAAACUCGGGUUAAACUUGACGAGCCUAGCAUAUAACAGAUAUGGCCUCGGAACACGGAGACUGAAAGGUCGAGCAUGAAUCAUAUAGUAGAUAUGAUCAACAUAGCGAUGUUCACCAUUGAAACUACUCCAUCUCACAUGAUGAUCGGACAUGGUUUAGUUGAUAUGGAUCACAUGAUCACUUAGAAGAUUAGAGGGAUGUCUGUCUAAGUGGGAGUUCUUAAGUAAUAUGAUUAAUUGAACUUUAAUUUAUCAUGAACUUAGUCCUGGUAGUAUUAGCAUAUCUAUGUUGUAGAUCAAUAGCUUGCGAUGUUUCUCCCAGUUUAUUGUGUUCCUAGAGAAAAAUUAUGUUGAAAAAUGUUAGUAGCAAUGAUGCGGAUUGGAUCCAUGAUCUGAGGAUUAUCCUCACUGCUGCACAGAAGAAUUAUGUCUUUGAUGCACCGCUAGGUGACAUACCUAUUGCAGGAGUAGUUGUAGACGUUAUGAACGUUUGGCUAGCUCAAUAUGAUGACUACUUGAUAGUUUAGUGCACCAUGCUUAACGGCUUAGAAUCGGGACUUCAAAGACGUUUUGAAUGUCAUGGACCAUAUGAGAUGUUCCAGGAGUUGAAGUUAAUAUUUCAAGCAAAUACUCGAGUUGAGAGAUAUGAAGUCUUCAACAAGUUCUAUAGCUAAAAUAUGGAGGAGAAUAUCUGAAACAGUGAGCAUGUGCUCAGAUUGUCUGGGUACUACAAUUGCUUGAAUCAAGUGGGAGUUAAUCUUCCAGAUAAGAUAGUGAUUGACAGAAUUCUCUAGUCACCAUCACCAAGUUAGUAGAACUUCAUGAUGAACUAUGAUAUGCAAGGCAUAACGGAAACGAUUCCCAAGCUCUUUGUGAUGCUGAAAUCGACGAAGGUAGAAAUCAAGAAAAAUAUCAAGUGUUGAUGGUAGACAAGACCACUAGUUUCAAGAAAAGGGCAAAGGGAAGAAGGGGAACUUCAAGAAGAACGGCAAGCAAGUUGCUGCUCAAGUGAAGAAGCCCAAGUCUGGUCCUAAGCCUGAGACCAAGUGCUUCUACUGCAAAGGGACGGGUCACUGGAAGCGGAACUGCCCCAAGUAUUUGGCGGAUAAGAAGGAUGGCAAAGUGAACAAAGGUAUAUUUGAUAUACUGAUUAUUGAUGUGUAUUUUACUAGUGUUCAUGGCAACCCCUCGGUAUUUGAUACUGGUUCAGUUGCUAAGAGUAGUAACUUGAAACAGGAAUUGCAGAAUGAACAGAGACUAGUUAAGGGUGAAGUGACGAUGUGUGUUGGAAGUGGUUCCAAGAUUGAUAUGAUCACAUCACACACUCCCUAUACUUUCGGGAUAGUGUUGAACCUAAAUAAGUGUUAUUUGGUGUUUGCGUUGAGCAUGAAUAUGAUUUGAUCAUGUUUAUUGCAAUACGGUUAUUCAUUUAAGUAAGAGAAUAAAUUGUUGUUCUGUUUACAUGAAUAAAAUCUUAUAUGGUUACACACCCAAUGAAAAUGGUUCGUUGGAUCUCGAUCGUAGUGAUACACAUAUUCAUAAUAUUGAAACCAAAAGAUGCAAAGUUAAUAAUGAUAGUGCAACUUAUUUGUGGCACUGCCGUUUAGGUCAUAUUGGUGUAAAGCGCAUGAAGAAACUCCAUGCUGAUGGACUUUUGGAAUCACUUGAUGCUUGCGAACCAUGCCUCAUGGGCAAGAUGACUAAGACUCCGUUCUCCGGAACAAUGGGGCAAGCAACUAACUUAUUGGAAACAAUACAUACUGAUGUAUGCGGUCCGACGAGUGUUAAGGCUCACGGCAAGUAUCGUUAUUUUCUGACCUUCACAGAUGAUUUGAGCAGAUAUGGGUAUAUCUACUUGAUGAAACACAAGUCUAAAACACUUGAAAAGUUCAAAGAAUUUCAGAGUGAAGUGGAGAAUCAUCGUAACAAGAAAAUAAAAGUUUCUACGAUAUGAUCGCAGAGGUAAAAUAUUUGAGUUAAGUUUGGCCUUCAGUUAAAACAAUGUGAAAUAGUUUCACUACUCACGCCACCUGGAACACCACAGUGUAAUGGUGUGUCCGAACGUCAUAACCGUACUUUAUUAGAUAUGGUGCGAUCUAUGAUGUCUCUUACCGAUCUACCACUAUCGUUUUGGGGUUAUGCAUUAGAGACAACUGCAUUCACGUUAAAUAGGGCACCAUCUAAAUCCGUUGAGACGACGCCGUAUGAACUAUGGUUUGGCAAGAAACCUAAGCUGUCGUUUCUUAAAGUUUGAGGUUGCAAUGCUUAUGUGAAAAAGUUUCAACCUGAUAAGCUCAAACCCAAAUUGGAGAAGUGCGUCUUCAUAGGAUACCCAAAAGAAAAUAUUGGGUACACCUUCUAUCACAGAUCCGAAGGCAAGAUAUUCGUUGCUGAGAAUGGAUCCUUUCUAGAGAAGGAGUUUCUCUCGAAAGAAGUGAGUAGGAGGAAAGUAGAACUUGAUGACGUAACUGUACCUGCUCCCUUAUUAGAAAGUAGUUCAUCGCAGAAAUCUAUUCCUGUGACUACUACACCAAUUAGUGAGGAAGCUAAUGAUGAUGAUCAUGUAACUUCAGAUCAAGUUACUACAGAACCUUGUAGGUAAACCAGAGUGAGAUCCGCACCAGAGUGGUACAGUAAUCCUGUUCUGGAGGUCAUGUUACUUGACCAUGACGAGCCUACGAACUAUGAGGAAGCGAUGAUGAGCCCAGAUUCCGCAAAAUGGCUUGAGGCCAUGAAAUCUGAGAUGAGAUCCAUGUAUGAGAACAAAGUAUGGACUUUGAUUGACUUGCCCAUUGAUCGGCGAGCCAUUGAGAUUAAAUGGAUCUUCAAGAGGAAGACGGACGCUGAUAGUAGUGUUACUAUCUACAAAGCUAGAAUUGUCGCAAAAAGGUUUUCGACAAGUUCAAGGUGUUGACUAUGAUGAGAGUUUCUCAUUCGUAUAUAUGCUUAAGUCUGUCUGAAUCAUGUUAGCAAUUGCCGCAUUUUAUGAAAUCUGACAAAUGGAUAAACAAAACUGCAUUCCUUAAUGGAUUUAUCAAAGAAGAGUUGUAUAUGAUGCAACCAGAAGGUUUUGUCAAUCCUAAAGGUACUAACAAAAUAUGCAAGCUCCAGCGAUCCAUUUAUGGAUUGGUGCAAGCAUCUCGGAGUUGGAAUAUACGCUUUGAUAAGUUAAUCAAAGCAUAUAGUUUUAUACAUACUUGCGGUGAAGCCUAUAUUUAUAAGAAAGUGAGUGGGAGCACUACAGCAUUUCUGAUAAGUAUAUGUGAAUGACAUAUUGUUUCGGAGAUAAUGUAGAAUUAUUCUGCAAAGCAUAAAGGAAUGUUUGAAAGGAGUUUUUUAAAGAAAGACCUCGGUGAAGCUGCUUACAUAUUGAGCAUCAAGAUCUAUAGAGAUAGAUCAAGACGCUUGAUAAGUUUUUCAAUGAGUACAUACCUUGACAAGAUUUUGAAGUAGUUCAAAAUGGAACAGUCAAAGAAGGAGUUCUUGCCUAUGUUACAAGGUGUGAAGUUGAGUAAGACUCAAAACCCGACCUCAGCAGAAGAUAGAGAGAGAAUGAAAGUCAUUCCCUAUGCCUCAGCCAUAGGUUCUAUAAAGUAUGACAUGCUGUGUACCAGACCUAUUGUAUACCCUACCCUGAGUUUGGCAAGGGAGUACACUAGUGAUCUAGGAGUAGAUCACUGGACAUUGGUCAAAAUUAUCCUUAGUGGAAUAAGGAUAUGUUUCUCGAUUAUGGAGGUGACAAAAGGUUCGUUGUAAAGGGUUACGUUGAUGCAAGUUUUGACACUGAUCCAGAUGACUCAAAGUCUCAAUCUGCAUACAUAUUGAAAGUGGGAGCGAUUAGCUAGAGUAGCUCCGUGCAGAGCAUUGUUGACAUAGCAAUUUGCAAAAUACAUACGGAUCUAAAUGUGGCAGACCCGUUGACUAAACUUCCUCACAAGCAAAACAUGAUCACACCUUAGUACUCUUUGGGUAUUAAUCACAUAGCGAUGUGAACUAGAUUAUUGACUCUAGUAAACCCUUUGGGUAUUGGUCACAUGACGAUGUGAACUAUAGGUGUUAAUCACAUGGUAAUGUGAACUAUUGAUGUUAAAUCACAUGGCGAUGUGAACUAGAUUAUUGACUCAAGUGCAAGUGGGAGACUAAAGGAAAUAUGCCCUAUAGGCAAUAAUAAAGUUAUUAUUUAUUUCCUUAUAUCAUGAUAAAUGUUUAUUAUUCAUGCUAGAAUUGUAUUAACCGGAAACAUAAUACAUGUGUGAAUACAUAGACAAACAGAGUGUCACUAGUAUGCCUCUACUUGACUAGCUCGUUAAUAAAAGAUGGUUAUGUUUCCUAACCAUGAACAAAGAGUUGUUAUUUGAUUAACGGGAUCACAUCAUUAGGAGAAUUAUGUGAUUGACUUGACCCAUUCUGUUAGCUUAGCACUUGAUCGUUUAGUUUGUUGCUAUUGCUUUCUUCAUGACUUAUACAUGUUCCUAUGACUAUGAGAUUAUGCAACUCCCGUUUACCGGAGGAACACUUUGUGUGCUACCAAACAUCACAACGUAACUGGGUGAUUAUAAAGGUGCUCUAUAGGUGUCUCCAAAGGUACUUGUUGGGUUGGCGUAUUUCGAGAUUAGGAUUUGUCACUCCGAUUGUCGGAGAGGUAUCUCUAGGCCCACUCGGUAAUGCACAUCACUAUAAGCCUUGCAAGCAUUGAAACUAAUAAGUUAGUUGCGCGAUGAUGUAUUAUGGAACGAGUAAAGAGACUUGCCGGUAACGAGAUUGAACUAGGUAUUGAGAUACCGACAAUCGAAUCUCGGGCAAGUGACAUACCGAUGACAAAGGGAAUAACGUAUGUUGUUAUGCGGUCUGACCGAUAAAGAUCUUCGUAGAAUAUGUAGGAGCCAAUAUGAGCAUCCAGGUUCCGCUAUUGGUUAUUAACCGGAGAAUUGUCUCGGUCAUGUCUACAUAGUUCUCGAACCCGUAGGGUCCGCACGCUUAAUGCUACGAUGACAGUUAUAUUAUGAGUUUUAUGUUUUGAUGUACCGAAGGUUGUUCGGAGUACCGUAUGUGAUCACGGACAUGACGAGGAGUCUCCAAAUGGUCGAGACAUGAAGAUUGAUAUAUUGGAAGCCUAUGUUUGGAUAUCGGAAGUGUUCCGGGUGAAAUCGGGAUUUUACCGGAGUACCGGGGGGUUACCGGAACCCCCCGGGGGCUUACUGGGCCUACAUGGGCCUUAGUGGAAAAGGAGGGAAGCAAGGGAAGUGUGGGGCGCCCCCCCCCCCAAGGCCCAAACCGAAUUGGUUUAGGGCAAAGGGGGCCGGGCCCCCUCUUUCGUUCUUCCCCCUCCCAAGUCCUAAUCCAACUAGGGAAAGGGGGGGUCCUACUCCCGGCGGGAGUAGGACUCCUCCGGCGCGCCUCUCCCCUUGGCCGGCCACACCCCCCUUUCUCCUUUAUAUACAGGGGCAGGGGGCACCCCAUAGACACAACAAGUUGAUCAAGUUGAUCGUCUCUUAGCCGUGUGCGGUGCCCCCCUCCACCAUAGUCCACCUCGAUAAUACUGUAGCGGUGCUUAGGCGAAGCCCUGCGUCGGUAGAACAUCAUCAUCGUCACCACACCGUCGUGCUGACGAAACUCUCCCUCAACACUCGGCUGGAUCGGAGUUCGAGGGACGUCAUCGGGUUGCACGUGUGCUGAACUCGGAGGUGCCGUGCGUUCGGUACUUGAUCUGUCGGAUCGUGAAGACGUACGACUACAUCAACCGCGUUAUGAUAACGCUUCCGCUUUCGGUCUAUGAGGGUACGUAGACAAUACUCUCCCCUCUCGUUGCUAUGCAUCACCAUGAUCUUGCGUGUGCGUAGGAAAUUUUUUGAAAUUACUAUGUUCUCCAACAGUACUCCUACAUGGCCUCUCAUCGCUACCUUUACCAAAACGUGUUCACACACUUAGCCUUUAUCAGUAGGACAUGUUCACCACUCCGAUUCAUUCCCGAUGAAUCAGACCUGACACAACUCUAAGCAUAGCUGGCAUAAAGAAAACAAGCAUGGAUGAGUAGGCACAUCAAGGCUCAAGCAACUCCUAAUCAUGCUAGUGGGUUUCAACUAUUUACUGUGGCAAUGACAGGUCAUGCAGAGGAAUGGGUUCAACUACCGCAGAAGAAAAGUAGCAGUUGAAUCGUUGUUGUCCUAAUGCAGUAUAAGGAGCAGGAGCGAGAGAGUGGGAUUUUAUCGAAAUGCUCAAGGGGGAUUGCUUGCCUGAUAGAUCAACGAAGGGCACUGCUCCUCCGACAGUUACUCGGGAACACCUUCCGGAGUAGAACCUAUUGAGAAGAAACGGUGUCGGCAAUCAAUACACAAAAAAUGCAACAAUAUGAUGCAUGAACAUGAUAUGUGCAAAUGCUAGUGUUUGGGCUAAUGCAAGAUGCUACCAAGUUGGUUGAAGCCCAUUUGAAUCAAAGAUUCAAAUGCAAAUUCAAAAUGAAGCAUUUAAAAUGCCCACAUUAUGAUUUCACUUAUACAGCAUGUAUAAGUUGGUUUUUCAUGCAUGGAACUGGCAUAAAUGGAUUCCUUGCAUUUUUUUGAUAAUUUUUAAUAUAUAAAUUAUUUCAUUCUGAGCUACGGUUGAUUUCUAUGAAUUUUUGAAGUUUAGCUAAUUUUCUGGAAUUUCCUGAUUUAUUUUAAUACCAGAAAAUGAAUAGCUGCGUCAGCAUGACAGUGGCAUGACGUCAACGAGUCAAACGGGGCUGACCAGGUCAAACCUGACGUGUGGGGUCCACACGUCAGUGUCUCGGUUAAUUAACAGAGGUUAAUUAGCACUAACACUAACCUAACUACAGAUUUAGUCAGAGAUAGGCCCCACCUGUCAUUGAUGUUGGGGAACGUUGCAGAAAAUUAAAAUUUUUCCUACGGUUUCACCAAGAUCCAUCUAUGAGUUCAUCUAAGCAACGAGUCAAGGGAGAGAGUUAGCAUCUACAUACCACUUGUAGAUCGCGUGCGGAAGCUUGCAAGGUGAUGAUGUAGUCGUACUCGACGUGAUUCGAAUCACCGAUGACCAAGUGCUGAACGGACAGCACCUCCGCGUUCAGCACACGUACGGGACGGGAGACGUCUCCUCCUUCUUGAUCCAGCAAGGAGGAAGGAGAGGUUGAGGAAGACAGCUCCACCGGCAGCACGACGGCGUGGUGAUGGUGGAGAGGCAGUACUCCGACAGGGCUUUGCCAAGCACACAACGGAGGAGGAGAGGUGUUGGGGAGGGGAGGGCUGCGCCUUGGAGGAUGGUGCGGCUGCCCUCCCCUCACCCCUCUAUUUAUAGGGGGAAGGGAGAAGGGGGCCGGCCCCCUAGAACCCAUCUAGGGGGGGUGCGGCGGCCAAGGGGAGAGGGGGAGAGGGUGGCUUGCCCCCAAAGCCAAGGGGGGCGCCCCCUCUAGGGUUCCCCCCUCAACCCUAGGCGCAUGGGCCCAAGGGAGGGGGUGCGGCCAGCCCACCAGGGGCUGGCUCCCUGCCCCACGCAGCCCAUGUGCCCCCCGGGAGGGGUGGCCCCUCCCGGUGGACCCCCGGAACCCUUCCGGUGGCCCCGGUACAAUACCGGUAUGACCCCGAAACUUCCCGGUGUCCGUUUGACAACUUCCCAUAUAUAAAUCUUUACCUCCGGACCCUUCCGGAGCUCCUCGUGACGUCCAGGAUCCCAUCCGGGACUCCGAACAACAUUCGGUAGUCACAUACUAGUCUUCCUAAUGACCCUAGCGUCACCGAACCUUAAGUGUGUAGACCCUACGGGUUCGGGAGACAUGCAGACAUGACCGAGACGCUCUCAGGUCAAUAACCAACAGCGGGAUCUGGAUACCCAUGAUGGCUCCCACAUGCUCCUCGAUGUUGUCAUCGGAUGAACCACUAUGUCGAGGAUUCGAUCAAACCCUGUAUGCAAUUCCCUUUGUCAAUCGAUACGUUACUUGCCCGAGACUCGAUCGUCGGUAUCCCAAUACCUUGUUCAGUCUCGUUACCGGCAAGUCACUUUACUCGUACCGUAAUGCAUGAUCCCGUGUCCAACACCUUGGUCACAUUGAGCUCAUUAUGAUGAUGCAUUACCGAGUGGGCCCAAAGAUACCUCUCCGUCAUACGGAGUGACAAAUCCCAGUCUCGAUCCGUGUCAACCCAACAGCUACUUUCGGAGAUACCUGUAAUGCACCUUUAUAGUCAGCCAGUUACGUUGUGACGUUUGAUACACCCAAGGCACUCUUACGGUAUCCGGGAGUUACACGAUCUCAUGGUCAAAGGAAGAGAUACUUGACAUUGGCAAAGCUCUAGCAAAACGAACUACACGAUCUUUUAUGCUAUGCUUAGGAUUGGGUCUUGUCCAUCACAUCAUUCUCCUAAUGAUGUGAUCCCGUUAUCAACGACAUCCAAUGUCCAUAGUCAGGAAACCAUGACUAUCUGUUGAUCACAACGAGCUAGUCAACUAGAGGCUCACCAGGGACAUAUUGUGGUCUAAGUAUUCACACGUGUAUUACGAUUUCCGGAUAAUACAGUUAUAGCAUGAAUAAAAGACAUUUAUCAUGAACAUUGAAAUAUAAUAAUACUUUUAUUAUUGCCUCUAGGGCAUAUUUCCAACAGUCUCCCACUUGCACUAGAGUCACUAAUCUAGUUACAUUGUGAUGAAUCGAACACCCAUAGAGUUCUGGUGUUGAUCAUGUUUUGCACGCGAGAGAGGUUUAGUCAGCGGAUCUGCGACAUUCAGAUCCAUGUGCACUUUGCAAAUCUCUAUGUCUCCAUCUUGAACAUUUUCACGGAUGGAGUUGAAACGACGCUUGAUGUGCCUGGUCUUCUUGUGAAACCUGGGCUCCUUUGCGAGGGCAAUAGCUCCAGUGUUAUCACAGAAGAGUUUGAUCGGCCCCGACGCAUUGGGUAUGACUCCUAGGUCGGUGAUGAACUCCUUCACCCAAAUCGCUUCAUGCGCUGCCUCCGAGGCUGCCAUGUACUCCGCUUCACACGUAGAUCCCGCCACGACGCUCUGCUUGCAGCUGCACCAGCUUACUGCUCCACCAUUCAACAUAUACACGUAUCCGGUUUGUGACUUAGAGUCAUCCAGAUCUGAGUCGAAGCUAGCGUCGACGUAACCCUUUACGACGAGCUCUUCGUCUCCUCCAUAAACGAGAAACAUGUCCUUCGUCCUUUUCAGGUACUUCAGGAUAUUCUUGACCGCUGUCCAGUGUUCCUUGCCGGGAUUACUUUGGUAUCUUGCUACCAAACUUACGGCAAGGUUUACAUCGGGUCUGGUACACAGCAUGGCAUACAUAAUAGAUCCUAUGGCUGAAGCAUAGGGGAUGACACUCAUCUCUUAUUUAUCUUUUGCCGUGGUCGGUGACUGAGCCGAGCUCAGUCUCACACCUUGUAACAUAGGCAAGAACCCCUUCUUGGACUGAUCCAUUUUGAACCUCUUCAAAAUCUUAUCAAGGUAUGUGCUUUGUGAAAGACCUAUGAGGCGUCUCGAUCUAUCUCUAUAGAUCUUGAUGCCUAAUAUAUAAGCAGCUUCUCCAAGGUCCUUCAUUGAAAAACACUUAUUCAAGUAGGCCUUAAUGCUGUCCAGAAAUUCUAUAUUAUUUCCCAUCAAGAGUAUGUCAUCUACAUAUAAUAUGAGAAAUGCUACAGAGCUCCCACUCACUUUCUUGUAAACGCAGGCUUCUCCAUAAGUCUGCAUAAACCCAAAUGCUUUGAUCAUCUCAUCAAAGCGAAUGUUCCAACUCCGAGAUGCUUGCACCAGUCCAUAAAUGGAUCGCUGGAGCUUGCAUACUUUGUUAGCGUUCCGAGGAUCGACAAAACCUUCCGGCUGCAUCAUAUACAGCUCUUCCUUAAGAUGUCCGUUAAGGAAUGCCGUUUUGACGUCCAUCUGCCAUAUCUCAUAAUCAUAGUAUGCGGCAAUUGCUAACAUGAUUCGGACGGACUUCAGCUUCGCUACGGGAGAGAAAGUCUCGUCGUAGUCAAUCCCUUGAACUUGUCGAUAACCCUUAGCGACAAGUCGAGCCUUAUAGAUGGUAACAUUACCAUCCGCGUCCGUCUUCUUCUUAAAAAUCCAUUUGUUUUCUAUCGCUCGCCGAUCAUCGGGCAAGUCUAUCAAAGUCCAUACUUUGUUUUCAUACAUGGAUUCUAUCUCGGAUUUCAUGGCUUCAAGCCAUUUGUUGGAAUCCGGGCCCGCCAUCGCUUCUUCAUAGUUCGAAGGUUCAUUGUUGUCUAACAACAUGAUUUCUAGGACAGGGUUGUCGUACCACUCUGGUGCGGAACGCGUCCUUGUGGACCUACGAAGUUCAGUAGUAACUUGAUCCGAAGUACCUUGAUCAUCAUCAUUGUUUUCCUCUUCAGUUGGUGUGGGCAUCACAGGAACGGUUUCCUGCGCUGCGCCACUUUCCCGCUCAAGAGGUAGUACUUCAUCGAGUUCUACUUUCCUCCCACUUACUUCUUUCGAGAGAAACUCUUUUUCCAGAAAGCAUCCGUUCUUGGCAACAAAGAUCUUGCCUUCGGAUCUUAAGUAGAAGGUAUACCCGACAGUUUCCUUAGGGUAUCCUAUGAAUACGCAUUUUUCCGACUUGGGUUCGAGCUUUUCAGGUUGAAGUUUCUUGACAUAAGCAUCGCAUCCUCAAACUUUUAGAAACGACAGCUUAGGUUUCUUUCCAAACCAUAAUUUAUACGGUGUCGUCUCAACGGAUUUAGACGGUGCCCUAUUUAAAGUGAAUGUUGCUGUCUCUAGAGCGUAUCCCCAAAAUGAUAGCGGUAAAUCGGUAAGAGACAUCAUAGACCGCACCAUAUCCAAUAGAGUGCGAUUACGACGUUCGGAAACACCGUUUCGCUGAGGUGUUCCAGGCGGCGUGAGUUGUGAAACGAUUCCACAUUUCCUUAAGUGUGUACCAAAUUCGUGACUUAAGUAUUCUCCUCCACGAUCUGAUCGUAAGAAUUUUAUCUUUCGGUCAUGUUGAUUCUCUACCUCAUUCUGAAAUUCUUUGAACUUUUCAAAGGUCUCAGACUUGUGUUUCAUUAAGUAGACAUACCCAUAUCUACUCAAGUCAUCAGUGAGAGUGAGAACAUAACGAUAUCCUCCGCGAGCCUCAACGCUCAUUGGACCGCACACAUCGGUAUGUAUGAUUUCCAACAAGUUGGUUGCUCGCUCCAUUGUUCCGGAGAACGGAGUCUUGGUCAUUUUGCCCAAGAGGCAUGGUUCGCACGUGUCAAACGAUUCAUAAUCAAGAGACUCUAAAAGUCCAUCGGCAUGGAGCUUCUUCAUGCGCUUGACACCAAUGUGACCAAGGCGGCAGUGCCACAAGUAUGUGGGACUAUCGUUAUCAACUUUAAAUCUUUUGGCAUCUACACUAUGAACAUGUGUAAUAUUACGCUCGAGAUUCAUUAAGAAUAAACCAUUGACCAUCGGAGCAUGACCAUAAAACAUAUCUCUCAUAUAAAUCGAACAACCAUUAUUCUCUGACUUAAAUGAGUAGCCAUCUCGUAUUAAAUGAGAUCCAGAUACAAUGUUCAUGCUCAAGCUUGGCACUAAAUAACAAUUAUUAAGGUUCAAAACUAAUCCCGUAGGUAAAUGUAGAGGUAGCGUGCCGACGGCGAUCACAUCGACUCUGGAACCAUUCCCGACGCGCAUAGUCACCUCGUCCUUCGCCAGUCUCCGUUUAUUCCGCAGCUCCUGCUGUGAGUUACAAAUAUGAGCAACGGCACCGGUAUCAAAUACCCAGGAGUUACUACGAGUACUGGUGAGGUACACAUCAAUCACAUGUAUAUCAAAUAUACCUUUGGUGUUGCCUGCCUUCUUAUCCGCUAAGUAUUUGGGGUAGUUCCGCUUCCAGUGACCCUUCCCCUUGCAAUAAAAGCACUCAGUCUCAGGCUUAGGUCCAUUCUUUGACUUCUUCCCGGUAACUGGCUUACCAGGCGCGGCAACCUCCUUGCCGUCCUUCUUGAAGUUCUUCUUACCCUUGCCCUUCUUGAACUUAGUGGUCUUAUUGACCAUCAACACUUGAUGUUCUUUCUUGAUUUCAGCCUCUGCUGACUUCAGCAUCGAGAACACUUCAGGAAUGGUAUUUUCCAUCCCCUGCAUGUUGUAGUUCAUCACAAAGCUCUUGUAGCUUGGUGGGAGCGACUGGAGGAUUCUGUCAAUGACCGCCUCAUCUGGGAGGUUAAUGUUCAGCUGGGUCAUACGGUUGUGCAACCCAGACAUCUUCAGGAUGUGCUCACUGACAGAACUAUUUUCCUCCAUCUUACAACUGUAGAACUUGUCGGAGACAUCAUAUCUCUCGACCCGGGCAUGAGCUUGAAAAACUAGUUUCAGCUCUUCGAACAUCUCAUAUGCUCCGUGGUGCUCAAAACGCUUUUGGAGCCCCGGUUCUAAGUUGUAAAGCAUGCCGCACUGAACGAGGGAGUAAUCAUCAGCACGAGACUGCCAAGCAUUCAUAAUGUCUUGGUUCUCUGGGACGGGAGCGUCACCUAGCGGUCCUUCUAGGACAUAUUGUUUCCUGGAAGCUAUGAGGAUGAUCCUCAGGUUCCGGACCCAGUCCGUAUAGUUGCUGCCAUCAUCUUUCAGCUUGGUUUUCUCUAGGAACGCGUUGAAGUUCAUGUUGACAUUAGCGUUGGCCAUUGAUUUACAAGACAUAUUUGCAAAGGUUUUAGACUAAGUUCAUGAUAAUAAAGUUCUAAUCAAAUUAUGAACUCCCACUUAGAUUAGACAUCCCUCUAGUCAUCUAAGUGUUACACGAUCCGAGUCGACUAGCCCGUGUCCGAUCAUCACGUGAGACGGACUAGUCAUCGUCGGUGAACAUUCUCAUGUUGAUCGUAUCUUCCAUACGAUUCGUGUUCGACCUUUCGGUCUCCGUGUUCCGAGGCCAUGUCUGCACAUGCUAGGCUCGUCAAGUUAACCCUAAGUGUUUUUGCUGUGUAAAACUGUCUUACACCCAUUGUAUGUGAACGUAAGAAUCCAUCACACCCGAUCAUCACGUGGUGCUUAGAAGCGACGAACUGUAGCAACGGUGCACAGUUAGGGGAGAACACUUCUUGAAAUUUUAUAAGGGAUCAUCUUAUUUACUACCGUCGUCCUAAGUAAACAAGAUGCAUAAUACAUAAUAAACAUCACAUGCAAUUAUAUAGUUGUGACAUGAUAUGGCCAAUAUCAUAUAGCUCCAUUGAUCUUCAUCUUCGGGGCUCCAUGAUCAUCUUGUCACCGGCUUGACACCAUGAUCUCCAUCAUCAUGAUCUCCAUCAUCGUGUCUUCAUGAAGUUGUCACGCCAACGACUACUUCUACUUCUAUGACUAACGUUUAGCAAUAAAGUAAAGUAGUUUACAUGGCGUUCUUCAAUGACACGCAGGUCAUACAAAAAAUAAAGACAACUCCUAUGGCUCCUGCCGGUUGUCAUACUCAUCGACAUGCAAGUCGUGAAUCCUAUUACAAAGAACAUGAUCUCAUACAUCACAAUUCAUCAUUCAUCACAACUUCUGGCCAUAUCACAUCACAUGAUCAAUUGCUGCAAAAACAAGUUAGACGUCCUCUAAUUGUUGUUGCAUCUUUUACGUGGCUGCAAUUGGGUUCUAGCAAGAACGUUUUCUUACCUACGAAUCACCACAACGUGAUUUUGUCAACUUCUAUUUACCCUUCAUAAGGGCCCUGUUCAUCGAUUCCGCUCCAACUAAAGUGGGAGAGACAGACACCCGCCAGCCACCUUAUGCAACUUGUGCAUGUCAGUCGGUGGAACCGGUCUCACGUAAGCGUACGUGUAAGGUUGGUCCGGGCCGCUUCAUCCCACAAUACCGUUGAGCAAGAAAAGACUAGUAGAGGCAAGUAAGAUGACAAAAUCCACGCCCACAACAAAGUUGUGUUCUACUCGUGCAAAGAGAACUACGCAUAGACCUAGCUCAUGAUGCCACUGUUGGGAACGUUGCAGAAAAUUAAAAUUUUUCCUACGGUUUCACCAAGAUCCAUCUAUGAGUUCAUCUAAGCAACGAGUCUAGGGAGAGAGUUUGCAUCUACAUACCACUUGUAGAUCGCGUGCGGAAGCUUGCAAGGUGAUGAUGUAGUCGUACUCGACGUGAUUCAAAUCACCGAUGACCUGCGCCGAACGGACGGCACCUCCGCGUUCAACACACGUACGGAAACAGCCACGUCUCCUCCUUCUUGAUCCAGCAAGGAAGGGAGGAGAGGUUGAGGGAGAUGGCACCAGCAGCAGCACGACGGCGUGGUGUUGGUGGAGCUGCAGUACUCCGGCAGAGCUUCGCUAAGCGCUAUGGAGUUGGAGGAGGUGUUGGGGAGGGAGAAGGAGGCAACCAAAGGCCAGGGCACAAGGUAUGAAGUCCCUCCUCUCCCCCCCACUAUAUAUAGGGGUGCCAAGGGGGGGUGGCCGGCCCUAGGAGAUCAAAUCUCCUAGGGGGUGCGGCGGCCAAGGGGGGAUUCCCUCCCCCCCAAGGCACCUAGGAGGUGCCUUCCACUAGUAGGACUCCUCCCCCUUGGAAACCCUAGGCGCAUGGGCCUUGUGGGGCUGGUGCCCUUGGCCCAUGUAGGCCAAGGCGCACCCCCUACAGCCCAUGUGGCCCCCGGGGAUGGGUGGCCCCACCCGGUGGGCCCCCGGGACCCCUCCGGUGGUCCCGGUACAAUACCGAUAACCCCGAAACUUGUCCCGAUGCCCGAAACAGGACUUCCCAUAUAUAAAUCUUUACCUCCGGACCAUUCCGGAACUCCUCGUGACGUCCGGGAUCUCAUCCGGGACUCCGAACAACAUUCGGGUUACUGCAUAUACUUAUCCCUACAACCCUAGCGUGACUGAACCUUAAGUGUGUAGACCCUACGGGUUCGGGAGACAUGUAGACAUGACCGAGACUCUCUUAGUCAAUAACCAUCAGCGGGAUCUGGAUACCCAUGAUGGCUCCCACAUGCUCCUCGAUGUUGUCAUCGGAUGAACCACUAUGUCGAGGAUUCGAUCAAAACCCUGUAUGCAAUUCCCUUUGUCAAUCGGUACGUUACUUGCCCGAGACUUGAUCGUCGGUAUCCCAAUACCUUGUUCAGUCUCGUUACCGGCAAGUCACUUUACUCGUACCGUAAUGCAUGAUCCCGUGUCCAACACCUUGGUCACAUUGAGCUCAUUAUGAUGAUGCAUUACCGAGUGGGCCCAGAGAUACCUCUCCGUCAUACGGAGUGACAAAUCCCAGUCUCGAUCCGUGUCAACCCAACAGCUACUUUCGGAGAUACCUGUAAUGCACCUUUAUAGUCACCCAGUUACGUUGUGACGUUUGAUACACCCAAGGCACUCUUACGGUAUCCGGGAGUUACACGAUCUCAUGGUCGAAGGAAGAGAUACUUGACAUUGGCAAAGCUCUAGCAAAACGAACUACACGAUCUUUUAUGCUAUGCUUAGGAUUGGGUCUUGUCCAUCACAUCAUUCUCCUAAUGAUGUGAUCUCGUUAUCAACGACAUCCAAUGUCCAUAGUCAGGAAACCAUGACUAUCUGUUGAUCACAACGAGCUAGUCAACUAGAGGCUCACCAGGGACAUAUUGUGGUCUAAGUAUUCACACGUGUAUUACGAUUUCCGGAUAAUACAGUUAUAGCAUGAAUAAAAGACAUUUAUCAUGAACAUUGAAAUAUAAUAAUACUUUUAUUAUUGCCUCUAGGGCAUAUUUCCAACAAUUGACUCAUACGGGUCAAAUCUGGUCAACUGGGGGGUCAAACCCAGUCAACCCGCUGGCGUUUAGCCGCCGGCGAGGCCGAACGCGGCGGAGGGGCACAUGAUUCGCUUUUCGGCGACCAUUUGGACGGCGGAGUCCAUGGGCGAGGAGCCAGGGCUCGUCCGCGUCUUCUGGAGCAAGCGGGAGAGGCGGGGUGGCCUGAGCUCGCCGGAAACGAGCUCGGGCGGCGGCCGGAGCACGGCCAGGUGCGUGCGGGGUGCUGCGGGGCACGGCAGGAGCUGUGGGCGGCGGCGUUGGUCUUCUGGGAGGUUGCUGAGUGCGGUGGCCCUGGCCACGGCGGCGACAUGGCCGACGGCGUGGCGCUCGCGGGUUUGAUGGUUAACAGGGCUACGGCACGAAAUCGAGCACGGGGAAGGAGGGGAAACGGAGGAGAGCUCACAGCGGUCUCGACGGCGUCAUGCGUGAGCUCGGGGAUGCACUGGUGCGGCCGGAAUGACGGCGGCGAUCUCGAGCGGCCGGAGGUGAAGACGACAAUGGUGGCGGCGAUGCAGCGCGUCCCUGGUCGCUUGGCUCCUCGAGGAUGAUGCAGGCGACGAGGCGGGGCACCCGGACACGAAGAGAGGGCGAGGGGAAGGCGGUGGCCGCGCGGGUAGCGAGCGGCGGCGACGAGCUCCGCUCGGGCGGGUCGAGAGAGAGGGAUCCAGAGGAGGAGGGAGAACGAGAGAGAGUGAGAGAGGCCUGGGGGGUCUGGCGUUCGUAGCGGCCUCCAGCAGCAGCGGCAAGCAGGAGCUGGCCGAGCACGUGCGCGCGUGCGGCGAGCACACGCCCCUGUCCUCCUGGCGAGAGGAGAGGGACGAUUGGCAGGGCCAGCUGGCUGGGCCGGCCAGCUGGGCCGCACAGUGCCAUGCCUCAAGUGAGCACAGGUAAGUUUUUCCAUUUCCGUUCCCUUUUCUAUUUUUCUGACAUUUGUUUGAUUUAAAAAUAAUACCAAACUAAUUUAUAUUCUUAUGUCAAUUUUUGUAGGAGCUAGUGGUAUUAUUCCAGAGCUCCUCAUUAACUAGCAUAAUUUUUGGACAAUAUUAUAUAUAUAACAAUAUAUAUCCAAAACAAAUCAUUACUGCAUUAAUUUCAAAUGCCCAAAAUAAAUAUCUAUGAGCUCCUGGAAAUAUUGGUUUGAAUUUUAACUCUGACCAAUAUUUUCAGAGAGUAACAUGAACAUUUUCUUGAACCUUUUUGGAGUAAUUUUUAUCUGGGUCAUUUUCAGAAAUGAUUUCUAAGGGUUUCACAAAUCUCCAUUUCAAAUUUAAAUGAAAUUUAAAUAUGAUGCACACAUGACUGGCUAGUCUAGGUCAUACCAGAACUAGGGAUGUGACAAAAAACAACCAAACGGGCUAGACAUGCGCGUUACACAGGCCGAAACAAGACAACCCACUUCCAGCGCGAAUCUUGAAGCGAACAAAGAUCCAACGGAUGACGUGUCGACUGAGAUUUAGCGAGUCCAUUAUUGAUACCUUCAUUCAUGGGUAGUUUUAAUGCUUAAAUCAUUUAAGUAAUAAAGCGCCCUUUUCUGGAAAAAGAUCAUGGGUAAUCUUAUGACGGACGAACAUAAGCAAUAUAUGUUUUAUUAUUACUAGCAUAGAUGCCCGUGCGUUGCAACGGGAAACAAAAAAACCUGACUUCACUAACCCAAUGCUCAAGACCGCCUCCUCCUCUCACCAUGACCCAUCAUCAGACAUGAUGUCAUCAACAAACUCCUUGAAAUCCUCCACACUGCCACACGAGAAACAGAAUAAAUAUUAGGAGCGUUGUCCAAAGACCCUCCAUCUUUGGCUAAUAUAACAGAGUAAAGUGCGGAGUUUGUGUCACACACAGUAGGAACUCCGUGUCCAACUCCUUGUACUUUGGUGGCGGGCGCUAGUGGGUCGAGCUGAAACAUAAUAGUGAAGAUUUGUUUUGGUCUUAGAAAAAUAUAUCAUAUGACCAACAAAUAAUAAAAAGUUUUUAUUGUGAUUUAGACAUAGUUUUUUUGCAUGUGUUAUCGCAAUAUUUUGAUCUUGAGUUAAACAGUUUUGACACGUCAAAUAUUAGUAUCACAAUAUUGUAUCUUGGUUUUUGACGUCAAUAAUUCAUAUAUAAAGAAGUAGUUUACCCAUGGCAGGUGCACCUAAACACAACACCUCUCAAUUUAGCUAAAAAAUGCGGUUUAAGAUGAUUUAGACACAAAGAAGAAAUUCAUCAGUUCAAUAACUGAAUAAGCCUCGGAGCAUGUAGAAAAACUAUGACAUUUUUGGGCCAUAAUUACCAAAUGUCGUGUAUAUGGGGUGAAGCAAUUCUUGGUCUUUGUUCAUUUAAAAUGGUAUUUAAUUUUUCUUGUCGAAUAUCUUAUUGUUUUUCAACAAACAUAUAUUCUAAUUAGAUUGGAAUCGCAUUAUAAUUUAAUUUAACUUUAAACUUAUGUUUUGUUUUACUGGUUAAAUUUUACAUUUAAUCCCUGUAACUUAAUUUUAAAUAACAGAAAUAUAUUUAAUACUUUAUUUCUUGUAUAUUAUUUUGCAAUUCACAUGUAAAUGAAGUUGUAUUUUUUAUCCAUGCAAUUAAUAAAAUAUGUCUAAUAUUAUUAUCGGAAAUUAUAAUGCACGGAUGUGUCUGCUCAUCCCUUCAAGCGCGAUAGGCGCCACGCCAUUUAAUGUGUGAGACCGGUCAAGCGUGUGAUAAUGAUUCGAUUGCUUGCUAUUGUCAUGUCCCCGUGGAUGAUGUUGUGUAAGUCGUGCGUUAGUGCAUCCCAUUAUGUUUUUUUGAACAACAUAAAAUCUUGAUCAAUCACGAUCUAAGUUUUUUUUUUUAAUGCAAAGGCAUCUAAUUUUGUAUGUGCUCACGUUAAUCUCAACUUGUAUGCACGUUUCCAUAAAAAAAACUUAUACAUAGAUCGGACCGGAUGCUCAUGUAUGAUGAUCCCAUUGCAUGUUACUGUCAUGGUUGCCGUGGGUGAGGACAGGGCGUCGACCUGUUGGCUGGGCAGCUGAGGUUGCUGCCAGCCCACCCAAGUUCGAGUCCCGGCACGGACGCGUGGUGCUCACGGAGUUUCUCCUAUAAAGAAAAGCCAACGAGGGUUAGCCCUUGGGUUGGUCUCAUUUUUUUUUUAUGGUUGCCGUGGGUGAUGCUCUGUAAAUCGCGCCUUAGUGCAUCGCAUUAGUUUUCUGAAAAACUCAAAAUGUUGAUUGAUCAUGAUCUAAGUUUCUUUUUUAUGGUGUGUUCUGAUGCACGGCACGCCAACGAAGGGGUUGCGCGUGAAAGCAAAAUUGUGUCUCUUGCGAAAGGAAAGAAACAGAAAACAUAUUUUUUCGUUUUUGAGAGGCACGGCCGUGACUCUUGCUAAAGUACAACCGUGCCUCUCGCGGAAACAAAACCGUGACUCUCGCGAAAGGAAAAAAAACAGAAAACACAUUUUUUUUCCGUUUCCGAGACGCACGGCCAUGACUCUCGCGAAAGCAUACCCAUGCCUCUCGCGGAGGCAAAACCGUGACUCUCGUGAAAGGAAAGGAAAAACAGAAAAUGUGUUUUUUUUCGUUUCCGAGAGGCACGACCAUGACUCUCGCGAAAGCACACCCGUGCCUCUCGCGGAAGCAAAACCGUGACUCUCGCGAAAGGAAAAAACAAAAAACGCGUUUUUUUCGUUUUCAAGAGGCACGGCCGUGACUCUCGCGAAAGCACACCCGUACCUCUCGUGGAAAAAAAAACAUGACUCUCGUGAAAGAAAAAACAAAAAAAAUGUGUUUUUUUGUUUCCGAGAGGCAUGCCCGUGGCUCUCGCGAAAGCCAAACCGUGACUCGCGAAAGGAAAAAAACGCGUUUUUUUGCGCAAUUUUUUUUAAAUCAAAAAUCUAAAGAAGACCAGCGAAAAAUCAGGACGUCGAAAAAACCCGUUUAAAAAGCCGAAAAGGCGUGCAGAAAUAAAACAAAAUCCGGAGCAAGCGCCGAAAGCGCGACACGUGGCGAAUGGCUGAGAGCGCGUCAAAUGGCGCUGAUUGUUGCGAGGCUCCCGAAGGAGUGCUCGUUAACCUCAUGGGUAAUCUUAUGACGGACGAGCAAAAGCAAUACAUGCUUUAUUAUUAUUAUAUAAAUUAUAAAUGUAUAGGGAAAGAAAUUUCUUCUCAAGAAUAUAUUGUAUAUAGCAGAUGAAACUAAGCUGCUGUGUAUUGUGUUUGUGUCCGAUCCCUAGUCCCUACACCUUGAUGUCUAUAGUGUGCUCCACCGCAGCCGACGACGCGUCCACCGUCAAAGUGCGCACGGCGGGCGAGCCAAGCGACGGGUGAGUCACCGUGAAGUUGUACUCGCCGUGGACGAGGUCCAGCUCGGUCACGCCGUUGGCGUCCAUGGUGGCGCCCUCCGGGUGCGUCCUCCAUUCAGCGAUGAGCUUGUCGACGCGGUCGCCGGCGGGAAGAUUCUUGAAGUUGUUGUCCGUGAGGCACAUGGCCCAGCAGCCCUGCGCGUGCCAGGCCGCCCACAUCACCAUGCCCUCCACGUUGGGGUGCCCGUAGCCUUCCCUCAGCACCUCCUCCAGGUAGAUCGGCACGUAGGGGCCGGCAUUCCGGUUGACGUCGACCUCAGUGAGCCAGAUGGGGACCCUGAGCUGCGCGAGCAUGUCCAGCGUCGCCCUCAUGUAGGGGAUGUUGGGCGUGCCGAAGUGGCUCUCGAGGCCGACGGCGAGCUUGAUGCCGCGGUUGCCGGGGUAGGAGCGUAUCUGCUGCAGCUUGGCGACGUACUUGCUGGACAUGGCAGCCGCGUCCAGCGGCUCCUCCAGCGUGCCGAACUCGUUCAUGAACAGCCUCGCCGUCCGGUCGAUCCGCGCCACCCGAUGGUACACCUCGGACGACGCGUUGCGGCCGAGCCUGCUCUCGAAGAAGUGCCCGUGGAGGUUCUCGUUCACCACGUCCCACGCGAUGACCUUGCCGGCGUACCGCGACACCACGGAGCUGAUGCGCUUCUGCAUGGCCGCCUUGAGCCGCUGCGCGUCCAGCGGCUUCACCCACGACACCUGCGUGUCGUUGGUGUCCCAGAGCACGUUGUGGCCGCGCACCGCGAUGCCGUGCUUCUCGGCGAGCCGCAGCAUGGCGUCCGCGACGGUGUAGUCCUCGUGGUUCUCCAUCCACUCCGUGCUGUACCACUUCAUCUCGUUCUCGAAGCUGGCCACGGUGAACCGGGACGCGAACCACUGCUCGUAGGCCGGGAUGUCGAGGAUCUCCUUGGUCAUGGCGUUGCCGAACGGGAAGCCGGGCCGGAGGAGCUUGACGCUCAGGUUGGCGUUCGGCAGUGGGACGCCGUCGGCGCCCCGGGCGACCACCUUGACGGCGCUCCGGCGGGUCUUCCCGGCCGACAGACGGCGUUGCUCGUCCCACUCGGGGAAGGAGAAGGGCUGCAGAGACACGCUGUCCACCCAGAUGUCCACCCUACCAUCGGCCUGUACAAGCGAACUUUAGUUUCCCUUUUUGGCGUUGAACAAUUAAUUCAUGCGUAAUCAUUCGAUCUACCUCGAAGAAGAGCUCGCCUGGGCCGGAAGCAAAGGCGGUCAUGCCGCCCUUGAGCAUGCUCCAGCAGCCGGACCUGGCGACGGUGGCUCCACCGGCGAUGAAGGCGCCGUUGGGAUCCUUGAAGACGGAUCUCACCACCGCCGUGCCGGACGAAACCUGCAACCAUGCUGCAUGCAUGCAUGCAUGGAGCCAUAUAUAUACGGGCACACAUGAGCAACAAGAAAAUACAGCAUAUCACAAGAUCACGAGUAAAUGACGAUGGUGCAGUACGGAGUAUAUGCUUGAGUUUACAUACCCGAGAGGGAGUAGUGGUGGGCGGUUUCCAUCUGGAUCUUCUGGUAGACGCUGCGCGACGGCUGGCCAUUGUUGCUCGCCGACGCCAACGCGAAGUUGUUGCCGGACGGCGAGCUGCUCACGUUGGCCGUCACGCCCCACGGCACCGACCAGCCCGUCAGGCCGCUGUUGAACUCGCUGUUCUCGAUAAUGCCGCCUUUGUACAGAGACCUCAUCGGGCUGCUCAAGCACUGGAUAACAAGAUCAAAACAACAUCCUUUAGUUUCAAGAUAAGAAGGAACACAAAUCCAACAAUAUAUCCAGUAAUUGGCAGAAAAAAGGUACUACUUGCCUUAAUGCUCGCGGUAUAAUCAUAGGGAACCGACUGGACCAUCCACCCUACAUACAUAUACAUCAUUAGCAUAUCUUACAAUGUGCAAUCGGUGGAAACUUGAAACACGCAGCAAACCGCAAGGAACUUCACUGGUGUUGGAAAUACAAACUGUGGUAAUAUGAACUUGGGAAAACUAACCUUCAAACAGCGAAAUGCAGAGCAAAAAAGCGAGCAAUUUCCCCAUGGUAACCACCAGUGUGUAUGUCACUUCUUCUUUUUUUUCCUUUUUUUUUCGAAGUGAUAUGUCACUUCUACUGAACUGGUGGUAUGUUUUAGUUGACGGAGAGAAGUGAAUAUAUAGGCAUAGGGUAAUUAAUCCGUGCUUGAUAAUGCCAAAGGCGGUGUGUUGCUGAUUGUUUCAAUCUUUGACUCUAAGUCAGCUCGAACGCAAAAAGGGGGGGAAAUCUUUGGCUCAAGCGGAAGACUAGGCAGGAGGAGCAACAUUUGUGCAUUAUGUGUGAAUGCAUUAAAAUCGUGCUACUUAUGGCUUUUUUUUCAAGGAAAAAGUGAAUUUUAUUUCAUAUAUUGAUAGGGUUACAAUCCAGAGAUAGUAAUUGCUCCAUACAAGGAGGAUCUUGACCAAGCCACACAGCGGUCAUCAUAAUAUAAUGCCCAACAAUCUGCUACCCUGUUUUGCUCUCUCGUAAGCUUCUAGAGAAUGAACUUCCGGCUACAACUAAGUGCCCAUACGCCGACCUGCUAAGUCUAGAAUCGGAAAGACUUGACAGUGCUGCAGAAGAUCAAGUCAGUAUCUUUUGUCCCACUAAAAAACCAUAUAUUUGGAUAUACAUGCAAGUAAUUAGUUUAUGCCAAAAUUAAGUCAAUACGAAUAGAUACCGUGAAUAUUUGUCAUAUAAUAAAUAAAGGAAAGCUUGGUAGCUAAUCAACCCAAUAUUCAACUUUGGGGAAUACUAAAUAUAGAAUUAAUUUUGCAUUCCAAUAUUCUUAGGAAAACGCUAUCUUACACCCGACGGAUGCACGCGCAGCGUCCGCCGCAUGCGUAGCCAUCGGAUCAAUCUUGAUCGAGCGCUUACGUUGGACGGCCACAAGUCGUGUGCAACCAAUUUUUUUGCAACAAUCGUAUUGUUUUUAGAAGGUUUCUACAACAGAGAUCUUGUUUCAGAAAUAAAUAAAUAAAGAUUCGGUGGUGAAGUUUUUUUCAGCAACAGGGUCUAAUUUUAGAAAGUUUCUGCAACAGAGGUCUUGUUUUAGAAAAAGAAAUGGUUCAGCAGCGAAGAUUUUUUUCUUCUGCAACAGGGAUCUUGCUUCAGAUACAUAGCCCCGGUUGUAGAAAGCAUUGGAGGAGCGCACGAUGUUAGAGUGUACGAGACCAAGCAUUGCAACACGACACAUGUUUCAGAAACGUAGCUUCAGUUGCAGAAAUCGUCAAAGGAGUGCCCAGCAUGGGAGCUCAUCGCCGUCAUGCUGGAGUAGAGGUCGUGCCUGUUCUCCAAGCAGGGCCCCUCGGUGAGCUCGAUUUGCGUCGGAUCCAAGCAUCUAACGUGUGAUAUGGUGCGCCAUUGUGUUGCGAAGAGUUUAAUUUAGCUCUUGCACACCGGCGGCGGGCUGAUUUUGGGGGCGGGUUGGCGGCGGCGCUGCGUUGGGCGCAGCUCUGUCGGGGCCGGGGUCAAGUUUGUUGUCUUUGUUUCUGCAACAACGCGCGUGUUGCUGGAAUAAUAAGGGGGGCAUGGGGGACGCGCACACUAGAUCGGACGGUGAUGUCUACUACACAACCUUCUUCUUGUAGACGUUGUUGGGCCUCCAAGUGCAGAGGUUUGUAGGACAGUAGCAAAUUUCCCUCAAGUGGAUGACCUAAGGUUUAUCAAUCCGUAGGAGGCGUAGGAUGAAGAUGGUCUCUCUCAAGCAACCCUGCAACCAAAUAAUAAAAAGUCUCUUGUGUCCCCAACACACCCAAUACAAUGGUAAAUUGUAUAGGUGCACUAGUUCGGCGAAGAGAUGGUGAUACAAGUGCAAUAUGGAUAGUAGAUAAUAGUAUUUGUAAUCUGAAAUUAUAAAAACAGCAAGGUAACUCAUGAUAAAAGUGAGCGUAAACGGUAUUGCAAUGCGUUGGAACAAGGCCUAGGGUUCAUACUUUCACUAGUGCAAGUCCUCUCAACAAUUAUAACAUAAUUGGAUCAUAAAACUAUCCCUCAACAUGCAACAAAGAGUCACUCCAAAGUCACUAAUAGCGGAGAACGAACGAAGAGAUUAUGGUAGGGUACGAAACCACCUCAAAAUUAUUCUUUCCAAUCAAUCCGUUGGGCUAUUCCUAUAAGUGUCACAAACAGCCCUAGAGUUCGUACUAGAAUAACACCUUAAGACACAAAUCAACCAAAACCCUAAUGUCACCUAGAUACUCUAAUGUCACCUCAAGUAUCCGUGGGUAUGAUUAUACGAUAUGCGUCACACAAUCUCAGAUUCAUCUAUUCAACCAACACAAAGGACCUCAAAUAGUGCCCCAAAAUUCUACCGGAGAAUCACGACGAAAACGUGUGCCAACCCCUAUGCAUAGGUUCAUGGGCGAAACCCGCAAGUUGAUCACCAAAACAUACAUCAAGUGAAUCACGUGGUAUCCCAUUGUAACCACAGAUACGCACGGCAAGACAUACAUCAAGUGUUCUCAAAUCUUUAAAGACUCAAUCCGAUAGGAUAACUUCAAAGGGGAAACUCAAUCCAUUACAAGAGAGUAGAGGGGGAAGAAAUAUCAUAGGAUCCAAAUAUAAUAGCAAAGCUCGCGAUACAUCAAGAUCGUGCCAAAUCAAGAACACGAGAGAGAGAGAUCAAAUACAUAGCUACCGGUACAUACCCUCAGCCCCGAGGGAGAACUACUCCCUCCUCGUCAUGGAGAGCACCGGGAUGAUGAAGAUGGCCACCGGAGAGGGAUUUCCCCCUCCGGCAGGGUGCCGGAACGGGUCUAGAUUGGCUUUCGGUGGCUAUGGAGGCUUCUGGCGGCGGAACUCCCGAUCUAAUCUCCGUUCUGGAAGUUUUACGAUACGUAGGUAUAUAUGGGUACAAGGGGUACGUAGGUGGACCGAAGGGGGGGCCACGAGGGAGGGGGCGCGACCCAGGGGGUGGGCGCGCCCCUACCCUCGUGAGCACCUCCUUCAUCUUCUGACGUAGGGUUCAAGUCUAUCCGGUAGGUUUCCUUCCAAAAAUAACUGCUCCAGUUGAUUUCAUUCCGUUUUGACUCCGUUUGAUAUUUCUUUUCCUCGGAACACUGAAAUAGGCAUAAAACAACAAAUCUGGGUUGGGCCUCCGGUUAAUAGGUUAGUCCCAAAAAUAAUAUAAAAGUGGAAAAUAAAGCCCAAUAUUACCCAAAACAGUAGAUAAUAUAGCAUGGAGCAAUCAAAAAAUUAUAAAUACGUUGGAGACGUAUCAGUUGCCAGCCAAGGGAUAAACACGAGAGACUGCCUGAACUCCUUCAAUGGGCUGGGUGAAGCUUUGACGAUCAACAUUGUGAAGAUAAAUUGGAUCCUUUGCAGGCUCUGGGUAAAUAGCUUCAACAGACAGAUCAACCUCUGGCAAGAAUACAAGAUGAUUGCGCGCAGAUGGCUGAUAGUUGAAGGCAGAGUGAAGCUUGAUAAGACGCAUUACCCAUGGAGCAUAGAACUUCAGACCAAAGAUGUCGGAGCCAGAUGCAGCCAACUGCCUGAUGAAGAAGUCUUGAGCAUUGAAGUUUAUGCCAUUGAAGAUAUAGAAAACCAAAGUCUUCAUUGCUCCUUCAAGCUUCGCUGUAGAUGAAUGUCCUUUGACAGGCCAUAGAGUCUUUCUGAUGAUAUGGUAAAUGGUGCGGGGCAGAUACUCUAGGUCUUCAACAAAGAAUUCGGUUGGGUAUUUAGCGUCGCGUGGCAAAGGCUUCAUCAUGCUCAGCAUUUGACUCAUGAAGAUGGUCUCUCUCAAGCAACCCUGCAACCAAAUACAACAAAGAGUCUCUUGUGUCCCCAACACACCCAAUACAAUGGUAAAUUGUAUAGGUGCACUAGUUCGAUGAAGAGAUGGUGAUACAAGUGCAAUAUGGAUAGUAGAUAAUAGUUUUUGUAAUCUGAAAUAAUAAAAACAGCAAGGUAGCAAGUGAUAAAAGUGAGCGUAAACGGUAUUGCAAUGAUGGUAAACAAGGCCUAGGGUUCAUACUUUCUCUAGUGUAAGUUCCCUUAACAAUACUAACAUAAUUGGAUCACAUAACUAUCCCUCAACAUGCAAAAAAGAGUCACUCCAAAGUCACUAAUAGCGGAGAAGGAACGAAGAGAUUAUGGUAGGGUACGAAACCACCUCAAAGUUAUUCUUUCCAAUCAAUCCGUUCGGCUAUUCCUAUAAGUGUCACAAACAGCCUUAGAGUUCGUACUAGAAUAACACCUUAAGACACAAAUCAACCAAAACCCUAAUGUCACCUAGAUACUUCAUUGUCACCUCAAGUAUCCGUGGACAUGAUUAUACGAUAUGCAUCACACAAUCUCAGAUUCAUCUAUUCAACCAACACAAAGGACCUCAAAGAGUGUCCCAAAGAUCUACCGGAGAAUCACGACGAAAACGUGUGCCAACCCCUAUGCAUAGGUUCAUGAACCCGCAAGUUGGUCACCUUAACAUACAUCAAGUGGCACGCGGUAUCCCAUUGUCACCACAGAUAUCCACGGUAAGACAUACAUCAAGUGUUCUCAAAUCUUUAAACACUCAAUCCGAUAAGAUUACUUCAAAGGGGAAACUCGAUCCAUUACAAGAGAGAAGAGGGGGGAAGAAACAUCAUAGGAUCCAAAUAUAAUAGCAAAGCUCGCGAUACGUCAAGAUCGUAUCAUCUCAAGAACACGACAGAGAGAGAGAGAGAUCAAACACAUAGCUACUGGUACAUACCCUCAGCCCCGAGGGAGAACUACUUCCUCCUCGUCAUGGAGAGCACCGGGAUGAUGAAGAUGGCCACCGGAGAGGGAUUGCCCCCUUCGGCAGGGUGCCGGCACGGGUCUAGAUUGGUUUUCGGUGGCUACGGAGGCUUCUGGCGGCGGAACUCCCGAUCUAAAUUCUGUUCUGGAAGUUUUAGGGUAUAUGGAGUUAUAUAGGCAGAAGAAGCACGUCAGGGGAGCCACGGGGGCCCCAUCAGGCAGGGGGCGCGCCCUAGGGGGGUGGGCGCGCCCCCCACCCUCGUGGGCAGCUCCCGUAUCUUCUGACGUGGAGUCCAAGUCCAUCAGGUGUGUUUCCUUCCAAAAAUAACUUCUCCAGUUGAUUUCGUUGCGUUUCGACUCUGUCUGAUAUUCCUUUUCUUCAAAACACUGAAAUAGGCAUAAAACAACAAAUCUGGGCUGGGCCUCCGGUUAAUAGGUUAGUCCCAAAAAUAAUAUAAAAGUGGAUAAUAAAGCCCAAUAUUGCCCAAAACAGUAGAUAAUAUAGCAUGGAGCAAUCAAAAAUUAUAGAUAUGUUGGAGACGUAUCAGACGGCUAACAGCUCAGGGAUCCAACGGCUUUUCAGGCGGCGGAUAAUUUCAGUACAUCUACCGACGGACGCGUAGCAGCGCCCAUAUUCUUAGGUCACUCUCAAUUCAUUGUAUCUUAAUCCUGAAACAUGCUAUAAUCGGAAACCCCCGGCACAUGGAUCACAACAUCACCAAACAUACACCCAACGAAAAUACAUAGACCAAGGCAUCGGAGAACACCAAAUGGACGGUGCAUUCAUCAAGAAGCCGUAGAUGCCUUCCUAAUAUCGACGUUGCAUCCAUCAAGCAGCCGUAGACGACUUCCUAAUACCGCCAUUCUUCUUGCUUUUGAUCCUAAAAUACUUCUAUUUCAGGCUGCGGAUCAGCCAGCGCGCCUCUUCUCAAUUUCCCUGGCGAUUAGGAUCCAACCAAUUGUCUUGCCAAAUUCAGGGUAGCAGCCUCCAAGCUAGCAAUAAAGUCGUAAAGCUUUAAUGCGAAAAGAGCAUUGCGAGUAGGUGCAAAUGCACCGGACGCAAUGACCUUGUGACCCUCUGAACCACUUACCUGAUAGACUCUAGCGAGUGAAAGACAAUAGCAUCCAAACCUACGCGCUCCAUGAAGGCGAGAGGUUGGUUGGGUUCCAGUAAUGGCAGUGUGGGCGCUAAGGUCACAAGCAAGACUACCCCUAGAUGCACCAUCAAAAGAGACAAACCAGCCACCCCACGUAGUUGCUGAAGUUCUAACAUGGUUUGAGAAACCGGAGGAACGACCCGAAGAUGGCCUCAAUUCCAGAGGCAGACGGCACAACGGACGGUGACUUCAAGACCUGACACAAGGUGAGAAACAACCAUAGAGGUAUGUUUUCCCCUCACUCAUGGAACCCAAGAGCUAGGCCAGUAGAGGCACAACUAGGAGCCCUCCAAGAAGAGCCUGUGGCUCACCAAAAUCCUCCGAACUCUCAUUAGGCAACCUUGCAGUUCAGCUUGUUGCGUGAGGACGCUCUGCAAUGAUACAUCUAUCGGGGUUGCAACGUUGGCGUGUAAAGGCAUUGUGGGAAGCGGUGGUGCAACACAUCAGAGCUGCGUAUUCAGGUUGAUGGAGAGCUUUGCAUGGCCAAAUCAAAUGGUGUCACCGGGUCAUAGGUAGUUCGUGCACCGAAUUGCGUCCCUGCGGGAGCGGGCUCAACGACCUUUUGAGAGGCACCAAAAGCAUUGGUCCCUCAUCCACGCCGGAGGAGCCACAUAUGUGUUGCAAGCAGGAUGGUGGAAGGCCGGUGAAGGCGGUGAGCCGCAACGCCUUGCCUUGACGAGGUGUUAGUCCCCAACAAUUCCCCACGACGUGUUGGAUCGCAACACAAGUAAGUAGCAGGCUUCAUGUCUCGGUUGAUACAACUACACCCUUCACCCUAACCAAGGCGCAUGGGAGAGGCCACUAGGGCGAACAUGUCACAUCCAGCAAUGGCACGCGACAAACUUGUGAGGACGACCGGUGUAGGAGGUGGCAGCAACGUUCGAGGAGUGGUCAUCAUUGAGGUCAGGUUCUCAUCGUUGGGGGAAGCCAGACGUGGGGUCGGCGUGGAUGGCCAGGCGUAGAAGGUGAUGGGGACCCAAGCACCUGCUCAAUCUGGUUAGGAGCACGUCCCUCCUGAGGCGGCGGAGGCGGCCUCCAAAUAUGGUGCGGCAACUGGGGUAGCCAACGCCAGAGGAGAUGGGUCAUGGGGCCGGUAGGCGUGCCCAUGCAGAGGCGGCAGCGGGGACCCGAGCCUCCUAGGAGUUGACACACAUGUACCUAUAUAUUGUGAGGGGGCAGAGCUCGGCGUCCACCCCAUUUCCAGGCAUGGCAUAGGCAACACAAUGAUCUUGUCUAGCUCCUCCCAAUAUGGAACGGGCAAGGGUGGUGGAGGAAGACAGGCCGUCACUGGACUCCACCUGAAGGGAUCGAUGUCGUGGGAGUUGUAGCAGGCCGGAGGAGGCACCGGUCAAGGUAGUGGGUCCAGAGUUGGUGCCUUUGCAGCCUAGGGAAGGAGUGAGCGUGCCACCAACCAUCCUCCAAUGGCAGGAACGGAUUUGCGGAUGGCAAGCGCGACCACAUGAAAAGUGGUGGUGUGCAGCGGGGCCGGAGUGAUUGUCGUCAUGGGGGCGUGUCGGAGCAGUUUCCAUUGACAAUAGUAACAUUUUUGUAUAAAACUAUGUUGCUUAUAGAAGUAUGUAUCAAGUUCUUGUCCACAGGUGUUGAAUGAACGUGGUCCAGUGAUAACGAUGCACCGGUGGUUUCUGAGUUUUCGGUCCUUGUGCCUCACAGUAUACUUGUCCUUAGAAGAUUUCUUAUAGUAAAAUACAAGAGGAAAUACAAAAAGACUUUGACAAAUCUUUAAGCUUCAAGCAUCCCUUGAAUUGUGUGUGACCGCCAACUAUCGUACCGACACCCAUUUCAAAGUUUUGAGGGAGGGAGGAGGGGAUUGCAAAAAGAAAAGAAAAAGGAAACAAAAGAUGGGAUAACGGCACAGGGUGACGCCUAUGCAGAGGGUGUGCUAUUGUUAAUUAUGGUUCAGCCUUAUCUCCUCAUCCUAAGGUUAAUUAGUCAGGAGUCAGGACCCUAAUAACCAGCGAACGUUUCUGGGAGGGAGUGUGGCAAUUACGAACCUUCUUUAUGGCAAUUUCUUUCAAAACACAUGACAAAUUCUGGCAAACAGAGCAUUUGCUGCGGAAACUGACAUGUUCACAUGAAGGAAUUGUCAUACACCCAACACUGCGGAAACUUAGUUUUGACAUGCACAUUCAGCGAACGUUCGUUGAAUAGCAUCACAGUUCACAUUUUCAGCAUGAUCUUCUCAGUGUAUUUUUUCGCAAGCUUUUCAAAAGAAAGAGGAAGCAGACAACUAAACUGCAGCUGGCUCCAAUAGUUCCUUGGGCUGAAAUUGUGAAGCUAUCGAGCCUCGAUGGCACCUCUUCCUUGGAUGGACUCAUGGACAUAUGCCUGCCUGCAUUUUCCCUCCGGCCACGCCAUCGGCCUCUCCAUCGCCUGUCCAUGCCCGCCCUUAGCAGGACAAUUCAUCGCCGACGCAUCAUCGUAUAUAUCCAGCCCAAAGCCACAACAGAGAACUCUAGACCGCUGGCCACAUCCUCUGCUGGCCUGGAGUCUUUGGAUACCCUUUUUUCUUAGACGUUUAUGGGUGCUUUCUGUUGGAGUCUUUGGACACUCUUUCCAUAAAGCGAAAGGCAGUGACAAAAUACGUUGCGAAAACAACACACAUUUGCCAAAAUUACACUCUUCCCAUAAAACGGAAGGCGGUGACAAAAUACGUUGCGAAAACAACACACAUUUGCCAAAAUUGACACGCUGUGAAGCAUGCACACCCAUGCAUCUACGGUGUCCGACGACGACGCCAGAGCUUUAGCUAGCUGUCCACAACAACAACGGCCGAGCAGGACGUGAGCAACGUAUAUACGUGGCCGGCGAACCCAUAGCUUCAGCUAGCUGUUGUGGACAGCACAACGGCGGUCGAGCAGGACAUGAGCCAGAUGGCGGGCGAACCCAUAGCCUGAGUUAGCUCUGCACUGCACAGCACAGCAACGGCAGAGGUGGACAUGAGCCACAUGUGCAAGCUUGGACGUACGUGCAUGGCUUGUGCGUGAUCGUCAUGCAUGCAUGCAGAGCACGAGGCGAGGCGGCAACUUUUCGUCCCAGCCCUUGUAGGUAUAAACCACCCUCGGCCCGCCCUCGCGCUAGCAGAUAUACAUUGAGUCAAUGACCAGUGUGUAGUAAGCGGUGAAGUGAGGGUUCUGGUUGCAGUUUCUGGGCUCGGCGCCCUGUUUUUAACGGGGGCUCGCGUCUUCGUCUCAGCCACCAAGCCACUGCUCUCGCCUGAACUAUUUUCUGCCAUUGGAGCUCAGGAGCAAAAGCCUAUAGUCACUAGUCCAUCAAAGGUUGUUCGGAUGGCUGUCAUCGGGACGGCGGGGGCGGAGGUACUGAUACCGCUGGCGGCGGUGAUCGGCAUCGCCUUCGCGGUGUUCCAGUGGUACGUGGUGGCCAAGGUGCCGGUCCCAUCCCACGACGGCGAGGAUGGCGGCGGCGCCGCCGCCCAGAAAGGCCGCAGCGGGCACGAUGAGAGUGCGGAGGACGGCGUGGACUACCGGCAGGUGGAGGCCCGGUGCGCCGAGAUCCAGCACGCCAUCUCCAUCGGUGCCACGUCCUUCCUCUUCACGGAGUACAGGUAUACACACGCCUUUGAUGUCAAAUUUUGCUUUCCAAAAUGUUUUUGGUGCCACUUGCAUAGAGAUGAAAAAUAAAAAACACGCUAGUAAUAUAUUGUUUCUUUUUAUUACUGUUAGUAUUAUUUUUAGCAAGUAAUAUUGGCAUGUUUUUGAGGUUGCGUGCUGAUUCAACUUAAUUACAGAUGACUAGCAAAAAUCAUGGUACAAUGCAACAAAAAAAAACACUUUUUGCGGAAAAUGCCAAAAAAAUGUUUGGCUUCUAGUAUAUAGUACUGAUAGUGCCAAAAAAAAUGUCUUAUAUUUGUUACGGAAGGAGUGUAAUAUAAUAUUUUUCUCUUAUUGUUAUUUUUAGCAAUUAACAUUUGCAUGCAUUUUUAUCUUAUGUGAUGAUUAAACUUAAAAAAAUACUAUAUGAAUAACUGAAAUCAAGGUACAAAUGACAAAAGAUAUAUUAUUUGCAGAAAAUACUAAUAAAAUGUUUGGGUAAUGUUAUUCAGCGAACCCUCACAGGGGGUACAUGACCAGAGAAACGUCUUUCGCGACAAUUUAUGUGUUGGUAGCAUGGCAAUUCUUUCAAGCGAACACUGCAAUUUCACAGCAAAAUUCUUUGUUUACCAGAAUUUGCCAUGUGUGUUUGAAGAACUUGCCAUAAAAAACACAAAUAAAUGCCGUGCUUCCAGGGGUAUAUGUUUGUCUUAGCAAACGUUCUCCUAAUAAAUAUUUAGCCAGACAAAAAUUUCAUCAAGAUUUUGCUUGCCGCUGUCGGCCAACAUUUACAGGAAAGAAAAGAAGGAUUGGCCUGUACCAAAAAAUUGCAAACAUCCGAGUAUUUAACAAAAAACUACCACAUUUCAUGGAACCGUGCCUACAAACUACCACUUUACAAAUUUGUGCCGAAAACUACCAUUUUCGACUAUUUUUUCUCAAAAAACACUAAUUUCUGCCUCAUGGUAGUUUGCUGAAAUUAAACAUGAUUAUGACAGGGAUGGCCCACACUUAGGCGCUGACAUGACACAGUGGUCAACUCCUAGGCCGUGCCGCACGAGAGAUGCACGCGAGCCACGCGCCGCGCCCGCCCCCACCGCCGGCCGGCGAGCAGCGCCACCUCUGCCAUCGGUCGAAGCCAGCGUCGUGUGCUAGCUAGCCGGCCAAUGGAGCAUUGCGGUCGUGCUAGCAUGCAGCCGUAGCAGCUUGUGUGCGUGCACAGCCGUGCACGUAGCCGCCGUNNNNNNNNNNNNNNNNNNNNNNNNNNNNNNNNNNNNNNNNNNNNNNNNNNNNNNNNNNNNNNNNNNNNNNNNNNNNNNNNNNNNNNNNNNNNNNNNNNNNNNNNNNNNNNNNNNNNNNNNNNNNNNNNNNNNNNNNNNNNNNNNNNNNNNNNNNNNNNNNNNNNNNNNNNNNNNNNNNNNNNNNNNNNNNNNNNNNNNNNNNNNNNNNNNNNNNNNNNNNNNNNNNNNNNNNNNNNNNNNNNNNNNNNNNNNNNNNNNNNNNNNNNNNNNNNNNNNNNNNNNNNNNNNNNNNNNNNNNNNNNNNNNNNNNNNNNNNNNNNNNNNNNNNNNNAUGGCGGCCGCCAUCGUGCCAAGGCCUCGCCCGCCGCGAGCGUGUGCGCCGUCGGCCGCGAGCGCGUGCUCCGUCCGCCGCUUGCGCCACACAUCGCUCCGCCCAGCCCGCGCCACCCGCCGCUCUUCCCCGCCGGCCGGCGUGCCCCGCCACCUGCGCCGCCCUCCCUCCUAGCCGAGCCGCCUGCUCGCCUCGGCCAUGGCGGCCGCCAUCGUGCCAAGGCCUCGCCCCGCCCCGCUCGGCCCUGUCGACCGAGCCCCCGCCUUUGCACCUCGUGUACGCCAUCGACGGGGAGACCAGCGCCGAAGAGGUGCUUCGCCGGGGCGCCGCUCUGCCCCGCCGGAGAAGAGCGUGGAGUACAUACGAGGUGUUUGAGGAAAUGCCAGAAAGAGAGGAGGAGGAGGAGGAAGAAGAUUCAUGCUGAUAUGUGGGCCCAUCCUGUCAGAAAAGCGUUUAGAAGAGGCCAAUCGGGCACUUUUCUGAGAUGGUAGUUUUUAGUCAAAGAUUAGUCAAAAAGUGAUAGUUUUUGGCACAAAUUUGUAAAGUGGUAGUUUGUAGGCACGGUUUCGCGAAAUGUGGUAGUUUUUUGUUAAAUACUCCAAACAUCCAAACAAGCAAAAACAUUUGUCGAAAAAAUGGUAUGAUGGGUAUUGAAUUGGCCAGUAUCUAAGCAUGCCCAAAAAAUAUUACCUGGUGAUGAACUAGAUUUUCACUUGAAAUGGGUGGAUUCCUACCGAAGUUUGAAGAAAUUCAUUAAAAUAUGAAUUGUAUUGAGUCUGGCUUGAACUCGUGUGUCAGGCGAAUAUUUUGACAGAUAGUCAAAAAAUUUAUCCUAUUGAUGAAUUCAGGUACCUCGCCGUGUUCAUGGCUGGGUUCGCGGUGGUGAUCUUCAUGUUCUUGGGGUCGGCGCAGCGUUUCAGCACGCGGCCAGAGCCAUGCACGUACGACCCGGCGCGGCUGUGCCGGCCGGCGCUAGCGAACGCGGCCUUCAGCAUGAUCGCGUUCCUCCUGGGCGCGCUCACCUCCGUCAUGUCCGGGUACCUCGGGAUGCGCGUGGCGACGUUCGCGAACGCGCGCACGGCGCUCGAGGCUCGCCGCGGCGUGGGGCGCGCCUUCGUCGUGGCGUUCCGGUCUGGCGCCGCCAUGGGCUUCCUCCUCGCGUCCAGCGCGCUGUUCGUCCUCUACGUCGCCAUCAACCUCUUCGGCGUCUACUACGGCGACGACUGGGGCGGGCUGUACGAGUCCAUCACCGGCUACGGCCUCGGCGGCUCGUCCAUGGCCCUCUUUGGCCGCGUCGGCGGCGGCAUCUACACCAAGGCCGCCGACGUCGGCGCCGACCUCGUCGGCAAGGUGGAGCGCAACAUCCCCGAGGAUGACCCUCGCAACCCCGCGGUACGUACUGAGAAUUACUACCAAAGUUGAAAAAAAUACUCCAUGUUUUCCAUGCAUGUCCCUGACCCUGAGACGAUCGAUGCUGUGCGCGUGCAGGUGAUCGCUGACAACGUGGGGGACAACGUCGGCGACAUCGCCGGGAUGGGGUCGGACCUGUUCGGGUCGUACGCGGAGUCGUCGUGCGCGGCGCUGUUCGUGGCGUCCAUCUCGUCGUUCGGGACGGAGCACAACUUCGCGGCGAUGAUGUACCCGCUGCUCAUCAGCGCCAUGGGCAUCGUGGUGUGCUUGGCCACCACGGUCGUCGCCACCGACCUCGCCGAGGUGAAGACCGUCGAGGAGAUCGGGCCGGCGCUCAAGCGGCAGAUCCUCAUCUCCACCGUGCUCAUGACCGUCGGCAUCGCCAUCGUCAGCUUCCUCGUCCUGCCCCACAGCUUCACCCUCUUCGACUUCGGCAGGCGCAAGCUCGUCAAGAACUGGUACGCCAACUCGAUCUGAGACUCGAUCUCGUCGUACUACGCCAUUUUCCUUGAGAUCCUCAAUUUAGUACAAAAUGCAAAUUGAUACACUUUUAUAUUCAUGAACAAUUAUCGAUGGAUUUGACAUUUGGUUUUGUAUGACUUUGCGAAUGCAGGUACCUGUUCAUCUGUGUGUCCGCCGGUUUGUGGGCAGGUCUUGUCAUCGGCUAUGUCACAGAGUACUUCACAAGCAACGCUUACAGGUAAUAGAAAUUAUACAACUUACAAAAAUUGCACGAACUUGAGCUAAGACGGGAUAGAUGCUGAUUACUUAAUCUCUGCUUAAAUUGUUCGACGCAUGUAUAUGUAGGCCGGUGCAGGCGGUGGCGAACUCAUGCCGGACGGGAGCGGCGACGAACGUGAUCUUCGGGCUAGCGGUGGGAUACAAGUCGGUGAUCGUGCCCAUCUUCGCCAUCGCGACAGCCAUCUACGCCAGCUUCCGCCUCGCCGCCAUGUACGGCAUCGCGCUGGCGGCGCUGGGCAUGCUCAGCACCAUCGCCACGGGGCUCAGCAUCGACGCCUACGGCCCCAUCAGCGACAACGCCGGCGGCAUCGCCGAGAUGUCCGGCAUGCCGCACGUGGUCCGCGAGCGCACGGACGCACUCGACGCCGCCGGCAACACCACCGCCGCCAUCGGCAAAGGGUUCGCGAUCGGGUCGGCGGCGCUGGUGUCGCUGGCGCUGUUCGGCGCCUACGUGAGCCGCGCCGGGGUCGCGGCGGUGGACGUGCUGAGCCCUCGGGUGUUCGCGGGGCUGCUGGUGGGGGCCAUGCUGCCCUACUGGUUCUCGGCGAUGACCAUGCGGAGCGUGGGGAGCGCGGCGCUGGCGAUGGUGGAGGAGGUGCGGCGGCAGUUCGACAGCAUCCCGGGGCUGAUGGAGGGCACGGCCAAGCCGGACUACGCCACCUGUGUCAAGAUCUCCACCGACGCGUCGCUCAAGAAGAUGCUGGCGCCCGGCGCGCUCGUCAUGCUCAGCCCGCUGGUCGCCGGCACGCUGUUCGGCACCGAGACGCUGGCCGGGCUCCUCGCCGGCGCGCUGGUGUCGGGAGUCCAGGUGGCGAUCUCAGCGUCCAACAGCGGCGGCGCCUGGGACAACGCCAAGAAGUACAUCGAGGCCGGCGCGUCGGCGGAGGCGCGGGCGCUGGGGCCCAAGGGGUCGGACGCGCACAAGGCGGCGGUCAUCGGCGACACCAUCGGCGACCCGCUCAAGGACACCUCCGGCCCGUCGCUCAACAUCCUCAUCAAGCUCAUGGCCGUCGAGGCGCUCGUCUUCGCGCCAUUCUUCGCCGCGCACGGCGGCCUCAUCUUCAAGCACCUCUGAGUUUGAAUUCCGAGUUCGCUCGGCUUGCUGCCUGGACCUGGAUGGCCAAGCAGAAGGCUUUCGUUGCCAAUAAUAACCUCUAGACUGGGAGAAUUGUAUGAGGUGAUGAAUGGUUAAUGGUUACUUUAGUUUCGGACUUUAUUCGAGUGCAAACCCGCCUUAGAAAUAAGCUCGUGGUGUAGCAAAUAGUCACUCUUAAGGCAUGACUUCUAAAUGCAGCAUGGAUGCUCGUCUCCGGGCCUUCAGCAGAGUGCCAUCACCGUGAGGCUGUGUUUGGCGCCGGUGGAUUAUCUUAAUCUUGCUUGUUUAAUCUCUCUGAUUUACUUCCUCCGUCCCAUAAUAUAAGAACAUUAUGGAACGGAGGGAGUAUCAUUUAGCUAACCAACUUUUUUCUUAUUUUCCCACCAAAUUGGCUACACAGAUUACAGUGUUAGCUGCUGGAUGUUCAUCUUCUACCCACGCAGCCGCCCAUCUACCCCGGCCCAACCGCCUGCCUCCGCCUCGUCAUCCUCUGAACCUCCCCCUACCGCCAUUGCUUGCCGCCUGCCACAACCAUCCACCUAAAGACCCCCCACCAGGCCACCACCACCACCUGCAUCAACUCACAACCCUCACACCCGUCAAGUUUCAGAGUCACAGUCUCGCCGUUGCCGGCACUCCUCAGAGUCCCCGUCUUAGGUCUCGCGCAAAGCCGAAAUCGACCGACACUCAAAAAAUCAGGUACCUCACGUUUAGCAAACGCAGGAAAAAAAAACAGGUAAUGAUGUGCUCAGAGAAAUGGCCUAGGAUUAAUUCAAUUGAAAUCCCCAAAUCAUGAGACAGCCGCACCGGAGUGGCAAACCAGGAAACAGCGUAUGCACAGCGCAUAGCCCGUGUUACAUAGACACCGUACUACCAGAAACUAGAUUGCUAGACUACCAUCAAUUUGGACUUGCAAAGUAGAGCAAGCUAUUGUGAACCAUUCUGAUAUCUACCGGCAGUUUUACAAGAUAACAGCUCAUCUGCCUUUCAUUCCACAUGGGUGGAAGCUUCUAGCAAAGGGCACAUUCCACGCCCCUGCUUAAUGUCAUAUUGUCCAUACUAGACUAAUGCAACCAAAAAUUCCUAUGUUGCCGUGACGAAAGCUGCGCUCAUUCUCAGCUUCAGGAUCUAUUCCUGAAGAUCAAUUUUACACGUUCAGUCGAUAUCACAUCCAAGAUAUAUAUAUGGCUGUGCCCAAAGCUGUCUCACUUCCAGUCAAGCUUGCGGGCUUGAAGUUUAGCAUAUUAUGGAUCUAGCCUUCUUUGGAGCCAAACGUGAUUCCUUAUCCUUGUAGCUGCAAGGAAAGACCGGGUUGAGGCCAAUUGAUGGAGAAAAAUGACUCAUCCUGCUGUAGAAGGCUCAGAGUCGGUUGUUUUUGUUGUAUCCUCAGCAUCUUUCAUACAGUCGUCUCCAGUUUGAUGGCCAGAAUCCAGGCUUUCCAGGGCAUGUUGUUGUUGAUCUGGAGAGCCUGGGCUUGCCUUCCCUACAUCAUCGUUGCCGUCAGAAUUUUUUAUGCUUGAAGCAGGUGAGAGUGGUGACUGAUUAUCUUCUAGCUUGGGCUUCUUUAGAAUAUUCCCAUCUGCAUCUUUGCUGUCCAAUGAACUUGGGCUCGCCAUGGGUAUAUUUAAGGCUUCAUCGGCUUUUACGGGUCGCUUGGGAG
rnacentral:lncRNA from 1 species